rnacentral:lncRNA from 1 species
UUUUUUUUUUUUUUUUUUUUUUUUUUGUCGUUGGGUAUCGGUCACUCCGGACUGGUAAUACCGUUUGUGCCACUAUUCCCAUCGCCCGGGGAGAGCGGGCCCCACCGAUCCCCGAGAGUAUCACCCCGGACACUCAGCCUUGGGGUCGAACCCCAGACCUAUCUCACCUAAUGAGGCUACACAAGCCAGCUGAGCUGCCCGUGGGGGGCCUCUUUGUUGUAUCUCUUGAACAACAAUUACCACUCUUAGACUGUAGAGCAAUUUUUUACAGUCAUGUGGAAUAGAAGACUGAACCCAGCUGGGUAGGCUACCCGUACAAAAUGUGGGGAUAAAUGCACGAGUAUGGGGGCGGUUGGCGGUCAUCAAAAUUUUUGUGAGGUCCCAAAUUUGCCUUACCCGUCUCUAGUUAUCUAUCUUUUAGUUAUCUAUCUUUUAUGUGCUGCAACCUUCUUUUUUUUUUUUUUAGCUAUUGGGCCGGUUCAAGAAAUAAUUUGGAGGAAAUGAGAUUGACAUCGAUCGCUGGAUUCAGAAUUGUGAUGCACUAAUUUUUGUCCCUCACAAAGCAUACAAAACAGUGGGGGAUAAUAUUUGUCCCACACAAUUCAAUUUAUGCAAAUUUGGCUGCUCUUUAUGGGACUGCAUCUGCAGAGGUGUCAGUAAGGAGUGAACAAAAAGGAUAGGGACCAAUGACGAUAGGGCCAGUUGAAUUAUCCUUAUAUAUAUAUGUAUCCUUAUAUAUAUAUAUAUAUAAAAGGGGAUAACCAAUGAGGAUGCAUCCAUAUGAAUUUUUGGGUUGGAAAUGAAAAUGGUGAAAGAAUUUUACCAAACAGCAGGCAGCAAGUAAUCAGGAUCAUUAACUUUUCCAAUUUCCACGCUAAAAAGAGUAAAGGGAAGAGGGGAAAGGGAGACCGCCACCAAACAGGCAAUAAUAGCCUUAUAGUAACAUUUUAUAAUAAUACAAGGGUACAUAGAUUGAACCACCGGCGUUGCUCCAGUCGUGAGUCGUGUGAAAAGAGGGCUCGUAAAGCUCUCUUCACCGUUAAAUUCAGGGUUUGAGCUCCAUUUUGGAGAAUUUUUAAAGAAAAAUUACUAUAACAAUUUUUAGGAUGUGAUGUUUAAAUUGCGUUUUUUUUUUGAAAAGUUUCUAAAGAAAAAUUACUGCAGCACUUUUUUAGAAUAUGAUAUACGUGAUGUGAAAAUGUGAUUAAAAAUUUACGUGUAGGAAAAAAUUUACGAGGAAAAAAAAAAAGGAUGAAAUUUGCCUAUGCAAAGACACAAUUCAAGCUGCCCUUUGCUUCCCAACUUGUGCUGUUACCAAAUCUAGUAGGCAAAGGUGCUUAUCCGGUAAUAUUGCUACGACAAUAUAGGAGUGAAUUCACAACUACUCUCUCCAUCUCAUUUUGAUAGGUUCAAUUUUUUUUUUUCAUAUAAUUUAAUAAUAGUUAGUUAAUUUUGUUAGGAUAAUAAAUCUAACUCACUAUCUUUCUAAAAUAUCCAUACAUUAAAUGGAGUAUGACUAAUUAGCUUUAUAUUAAAUAAAUUAGGUUAUACGUAAUGACAAGCUGCAUUAAACCGAGGACUACUUUUAUGAAGGAUCAGGGCCGAGAUGAGCGUGUUUGGAUAGUGAUUAUUUGGCUAAAAAUUAUUUGCUUGAAGCACAAAUAUAAUUUUUAUCUUAUUUUUUUAUCUUACAUACAUUAUAUCAUAAAAAGUGUUACAGUAAUUAUUUCAAAUAAUAUUUAUUUCACAGGAUAUAACUCACUUUUAACAACUUGUAAAUAUAGAAUAAAAUUUUAUGAGUCUCACACGUGACCUUAAAAUAGACGUGCAAUUUGGGCCUUAGAUUUUAUUUUGGUCAAAUCGUGGCCAAAGGUCAACCUUUAAUGUCCGGCGCCUCAUCCCCUGUGAGAAUAAUUUCAGGUGUUCAAAUUAUCUCACAGAUUUUCAAGAAUAUCUAUCAAAAUCCAAGUAGCAAAAUUUUAGGCCUGCUUUCCACGUGUCACAGUGUUGUAUGUUAAUCGUGAUUGUCCACCAUCGAGGACAAAAAAGAAUUGAUGAUGAUUGUCCACAGGGAGCCCCAAAAAGUGAGGCGGAUGCUGGUGCUUUAGCAGAUUGAGAGAUUGGCUCUGGUCUCCAUCAUCCCAGUUUCAACACCGGAAAAGCGCAUGAGAAAACCCCUAGUCAAGCCUUUUUGCGCUGCUGCCUACAACUUGCGUGUGUAACAAUUGCAGGAAUCAGAACACACAACACCAAAAAGGGGAGCGUGUGUGUCAAACUAACCAUUUGGAUAAAAAGCCAUCUUCCUCACUCACUGGGCCCCACCCGCCCCUUGAGUAAUAAUGCACCCACUGUAGCGUACGCAUAUAUUAUUACCGUACUCAAUAAUGCUGUCUCGGUGUCAACAGCCAACAGCUAACCGGACUGAAGAACCUCUUCCCUUCAUCAAAACCCAGAAAAAAACUACUACUAGUAGUGUAGUGUAAUCCCAUCUGCAAAAUUUCCAAUCCCAUCAAUCACAAUACGAGCACUAGUAGUAGUAGUAGUGUAUCUGCAUUUUUCUUGAUCCUGUCCUGGGGAGGAUCAUAGACCCUUGCGAAGAAACCAAGCUGGUCUAGUCACCCACAUUACUUACUACUUACAUCUGAAGCAAGUAGGGACCUCAGCGAACGAACUUACUUGGGAUGGUGUAGUAUAUCUGCAUUUUGCCGCAUAUUACACACUGCAGCAACCUCUCAAAAUUUCCAACUUUCUCAUGAACCAAGAAGAUCUAUCAGAAUCUUUGACACCACUUUCUUCUUCCAUGUUAGUAGUAAGUAAUAAUUAACUCCCCAAAAUUCCACAUUCGAGUUCCUAAUAGUACAAUCAAUCAGUGAUGAUGAUGAUGAUGAUGAUGAUGAUGAUGAUGAUGAGAUACAGAGAGAAAAUUCAUCAAGUUCCACAAAUGUGUAUUAUUUGUAAAAUUACCAAAUCCAAACGCUGAGCUCCCCAAUUAUUUAUGGCAUUAAACAACUACUGCCAUGGUAUAAAGAAUAAUAUUUAUGGCAUUAAUCAUUAGUCAUUACCCGUAAAAUAUACUCCUACUGUAUGAUUCCACACCCAAACUGUUGUGUAUGCCAAGGGGACAAAAAAAAAAACACAAAUUUAAAAAAAUAUUUUUGUGUUUGGAUUGCAUUUUUCAUGAUUUUUUAUGAAAAAAUUACGGUAGCGAUUUGAUGUAUGUGAGGAAAAAAGAUAAUAGGAAAAUGUGAUCAUGGAAAACGAUGUAAUUUUUCGACGAAAAAUCGCAAUCCAAACAAGGCAUUAGUAUUUAUAACUUUUCCUUUAUUUGCGAGUUCCUUCAGAACAGGAGGAAGAAGGAAAGAGGGGCCGAAAUUGGGCAGAUUUAUUACUUACAUUACUGCUGUAACUUCGAAAGUUUUCAUCCAUUUAUGACCGGAUUUGGCUGAAAAGCUGGAGAAAGCUUUGUACAGUUUUCAUCCAUUUACUACUGUUCUUGAAUGGCUUCAAACUAAAAUUUUCAUGACAUCUUAAAUUGAUCAUCCCAUUUCUAUCUUAAACUCCCAAAAUAUUAAAAUCUCCUCUCUUCUUUUUUUACCCUUUCUUUUCUCUUCUUUCCUAAUCUAUCCUCAACCCCCCAAACUAGCCAUACAUAAUAUUACUUUUUUUUUCUUUUGGCCACCAAAUAAAAUAAUCCAUCAUAUGUAAUACUGACUCGCAAAGGGAUAGGAGAAGCACAGAAAUGUCACAUUUCAUUGGCCCAUCAAAAGUACAUAUGUCUUCUCACAAUGCUUAGCUACUAAGCAAAGACUUCAAUAAUGUACAAGAAGGAAGGAAGGACUGAAAAUAGGUAUGCAAGCACCCACCUAAGCAGAGUCCAUGAAGAAGUUGUCCACCUAAGUAGCAAGCACUAAUAAUAAUAAUAAUAUAUUGAUUACUUGAGAAGCAGUAGCAGCUAAAACUUGAAAUUUCCUGCGGAGAAAAACAGAAAAGAGAAUUCAGCCACAUUUCCAUUUGCAACCGGGAAAAUGAUUCUUGGCCAGCCCAAGAAUACACCACUUUAGCUCAGAUUCUUGUGUAGUAGUAGUAGUAUUUGACAAGAGAAUAAACAAAUGGCUCGUGAAGAAAGGAGAAGCAUCUUUUUACUAAAGUCCGAAAAUUUUUAUAUACUCGAGAAGGAAUUUUGCCUACCACAUUUCCUUUUCCUCGAAAUAAUAAUAAUAGAAAAAAAAGUAGAAUUUUCUUCCUCCUCCUUUUUCUUUUCUUUAUACAUUCGGACUCCAAAGACUCCAUAAACGCGAAUUCAGCAGUCCCAACACAUCCGGCAACACUUUUCUAGCUAGUCCUUUGUGGUUACUCGCCGGCGCCGCUCCUCUCACAAUUAAAGCCGUCUCCGGCGCAGUCUCCGUCACCACAUCCUCCUCCUCCUCUUUUACCACUAUCAAGGCCGCCGCUGCCGCUUCACCAGUAUCUCCACUCUCAGGCACCAGUACCCCAGCUGAUGACUCCGGCGAGAAAGCCUCAUCUUGCGGCACAGAAGAGCUACUCUCUUGAAUCUCCGGCGAUCCAUUUCCUGUUUCGGGCAGCGGAAAAUCCACUAAUUUCUGAGUCCCACGCCGGCCCAUUUUGUCUCUUCUCUUGUUCUUCCCCUUCUUGGACUGCUCGCCGUUAUUCAAGUGCUCCUCGAAGGCUUCAAUGGCUUGGUGGAUAAGCUCCCGGUUAGGUGAAGAAUCCCACCUAAACCAGUAGCUAGUGUAACAAUCAAAGCACUCGCAGUCAAACAAAGGAGUACUUUUGUGGAGGUGGGCACCGGUAUUUGCUGAUUUUUUGGAGUUUUUCUUGGAUUUUUCAUCGAGAAGAGCUGAUGGGUUGGUAGUCUUGAUGGACCUAGUGAUCAUGUAAGCCAAUACUUCGCGGUCCUCGAGAGAAAGGACUGCUGCUAUAGCAAGAAUAGCAGCAGGCAAGAGUUUUAGAACAGAUAAAGCAUCUUUGUUGUUGUGGUGGGAAGAAUGAGACGAAGAGGAGGAAGAAGAUGAUGGGGAAGGAUGGACUUUACCCUUGUUCCGCAUUUUCACAUUUCUCUCUUUUUUGGCCAAAAAAGAUCUAAAGGGUAUCAGGGAAACGAUAUGGUCAUAGAUGGUAAAAGGGCUAUGUAGAGAGAGAAAGGCUUUUUGGGUUGGGGGAUUGAGGGGUUUUGUGGUGGGAAGGGGGAGAGGGGUUGGGAUAGGGGAGGGGUUCGGGGAUGCUGGAGGAAGGUAGGGUUUGAUUUUCUUGAUGGCCACGGUAGACCAGAGAGAGAAACGAGAAGGAUGGGGGGUCCUGGGCGAUCGAGGGGCUACAAUUUCUUAUAUAGUGUUAGGUUUGGACCGGGGCUUGGUUGGUAAAAAAAUGUUACACUUUUCGGUGCUAAAAGCGUACUGUUGAAGCGUUUGAUGAGUAUCAUUCAAUGAAACUAGGAGUGGAUUUUUUUUUUUUUGUUGUUGAAAGCAGCCAAAGUUUGGAUCCCUGUUUUUUUUGAGUGUUUUUCAAAAAUUAAUUUUUUAAAUAGAAUAAAAAUUUUUAAAAAGUACUUUAAAAGGUAAUCUAAAAAUCAGUUUAAAUUUUUUUAACAUUUUAAAAAAUAUCUCAAAAUAUAUUCUAGAAACUCUUCUACUCUUAAAUAUUUCAAAGUAUUUUCUAAAAAUAUUCUAAAAACUCUGUUACAGCAAAGUAUCCCAAACGGAUGUUUUUAGAAUAAUUUUUGUGUUUUAAAAAUAAAAUAUUAAAUUUAAUUAUUUUAUCCUAUAUUAUGAAGUAAAUAAAGAUAUAAGUAUAUUUAAAAAUUUUAAAUUACAUACUAUUCAAUAAAAUAAGUAUAUAUUAAAAUAUGUAAUUCAAAUAAUAUACUUAAGAGUAUUUGAACACUUAAUAAGUGCUUUUAUUAAAAAUUUUAUUAGGUAAAACACUUAUUUUUUAUUAAGUUAUCACAACUCCAAAUAGUCCCAAGUUCCGAUCCUGCGUUGCAUUCAUGAUAGUAAUAGGCUAGUGUAGCACUCUUUAGUUUUCGUUAGCUUUUGUCUCUUUUAAUUUCUUUGCUAACUAUUUUUUAGGUUAUUUGAGGUCAAGAAGUUAAAGUUGGCGUGCAUUAAAAAGCCGGACAAGUGAGGAAGGAAUGUCCACGGAAAUAUAAAGAAACUUGCAAAUUGAAGAAACAAAGAGGUUUCAUUUGUUCUGAACUAAAAUGUGUUCUGAACUUAUGUUAUAAUAAGUUUUGAAGUGUAUUGUGGAAGUGUAUUAUGCUCACAUGAUUGUUUUUGGGUAUUUUUUAAGAAAACUAUAUGGGUGGGAUAACGUGUCAGAAGUUAAGUUUACUUCUAAGUUAAUAAUCUUGUUUGGAAAGCCAUUUUUUCAUCAAAAUUUUUUUAUAUUUUUCAUAAACACAUUUUUUAAUCACCUUUUUACCUCACAUAUACCAAAUCGCUAUAAUAUAUUUUCUACAAAAACUCCAAAAAAAUUACAAUCCAAACAAGACAAAAAAUAUGAAUUUAGAAUCUCUUAUUUAUAACUCUUCCUAAUUUACUAUCCAAUCCAAUCAAACCCUUCCCAACUAAGUUGAAUUAGACAAAGAUUGCAAAUUUGAUGGCAUAUAAUGACUGUUGGAGCGAUAGCUCUUUUAAAUAAAAAAAAUAACAAACAAAAAAAGCAAAACCAACGCAAAUAAAAAGUUAGGUCGGGUGGGGGAUUUGGGCCAGCGGCUUGCCAGGAAUUUUUAUUUUUUAUUUUUUGUCAGUAACGAUGCAUUCCAACUAAAUCAAGGGAGUGCUUUAACACAAUUCUUAAAUUUUUUUUUGCUGCAGGUACCUACAGCCCAAUGAGGGACUUAAGCCCCUCCCUGGUGGCGACUGAGCCAUUGGCCCAGUGGUUUGCCAGGAAUUGGUGGGCAACAUUUAGCAGGGACAGAAAAAAGCAUUGAUUACCACCACCACCGAUGAGUGGGAUAAAGUCAUAAAAACAAGGAUUAAUUACAUUUACCUCUCAAAUAUUUUGUUCAUAUUACCAAACAAACCCUAUAGUUUGGCCAAAUAAUGAAUAUCCCAUGACACUCUUUUCACCAGUAAAUAAUAAACACACACAUCCAGAAUCUAAGGUAAUUCCACAGGUUUACCCAAAAGGCAAUUGCUAAUACCCCAUGACACUCACCUCCGUUAUUUUAGUCUAAUAGAAAUUGGGAAAAGUCAAAAUUGCCCACCGGAGAAUUGGAGGCUAAAAAAGCAUAUUAAUUCCAAAAAACAUAUUCAUGUAGCGAAAAAGAUUUUUUUUUUUAUAGAGUUUUAUUCAAAGUUGAACUUUAAAUGAUUCGGAUAUUUAUUCAAAGUUGAACUUUAAAACAUGUAUAUGUACCGAAAAUCCCAAUGCCUGCUCUAUUAUGUGAGAGAAGAGUCGAUUACUAUCGAGGCCUAAGUCUGCUACUAAUUUUUGCUGAGCACUCCAGCUCUAAAUGUAAUUGCUAUUUCUUUCAUGUCAAUAAUGUUUUUUAUUUGUAGAUGAUCAUGAGCUAGUAAGAAGGGGAGAAAUUAGAUAAAGACUUUAGACUGCCAAUUUUUCUCAAUUUUUCCUCCAGGGGAAGUAUAUGUAAUUAACCCUAAAAGCAAAUCCAACUGACUAUUUGGUUUUGGCGCUGCGUUUAGCAUCACUGAUUACUGUGCUCUCAGCCGAAUAAAUGGGCGGUCCAUUGCAAUUACAGUUGUAUCAUAUUUACGCACACUCAAAUUGUCGUGGUGGUAAAUUGAGAAAUCACCACACAUAUCUUCUGCCCUUUUUGUACAGCCACUGGCAUUUAGGCACUCGUAGCCCGUCUGCAAUAGGAAGUUAAUCCUAGGUAGCUAUUUUUGAAAAAAAAAAUUCCAUUUGAAGCUAUUUUUCUGGGUACAAUUUAUCAAGCGUAUCGUAUGUGCCCAACCAAAGCCUAAAAUACUUGUUGCAAUAUGCACAUUGCAACCCUUCGAUCAAAAACUUGAAUACCAUCGGGGCUGAGGAUGGACUAGGGGUGCAAAUGAGCCGAAUCGAGUCGAACUUUGGUCUAAUCGAAUUGCGCCUCCAAUUAAUUGUGUGAAGCUCGAAUUCGAGCUCGAGCUCGACGAGCUCAAAAUGUGUCGAGCUCGAGCUCGAACUCUGAGUUUAAAAAAUAAAAAAUAAUAAUAAAUUUAUUUUUUAAAAAAUAAAAAAUAAUUAUUUAUUUUUAAAAAUGAAUAAAAUAAUUAUUUUUUAAUAAAUAAUAAAAUAUUAGGGAUAUAUGUGUAAUUUUACUAUUAAAAUAAAAAAUAAAAAAAAUAAAAUUGAUUUCGUGAGCCGCUCGCAAGCCAACGACCUUAAUGUUUUUGAGCUCGAGCUCGAGUUCGAUAUUGACCGAGCUCGAGUACGAGCUGACCUUAAUGUUUUUGAGCUCGAGCUCGAUAUUGACCGAGCUCGUACUCGAGCGAUCGCGAGCGGCUCGAUUCAUUAACACCCUAGGAUGGAUGUUGUCUUUUUUCUUUUUUUCUAAAAAAAAGAAAAAAGGAAAAAGAAAAAUUGAGUCGAGAUCAAUUUAAUAAUAUGGUUGGUUUUGGAAGAUAUUAUCCUGGGAAACUCGUGAAGUGCUAAAAGUGGUUUUAAGUAUAAAUUAUAAUCCGUGACUCCAAAAAUAUCAAGACCUACAUGCACGUACUCUGCCUGCAUCAUAGUCCAAAAGAAAGGGAUCAUAAUUGCCAUCCGUUAUCACAAUUCACAGAACACCAGAGAAGAGACCAAGCGCGUAUGUGUGCCGCCUGCUUGAUAUACAGAAGUACAACACGUUUUGAUGGGAUGGGAGACAAGUUUCAUGGCAUUACCUAUUUACCUUGCAUCUUGAGAUCACUAAUAUCAGCGAAGCCAACAGAUUAAAAUCCAAUAGUACCAAAAACGUUGACAAAAGAAACACAACCGAUUCAAGUGGGAAUUUGGAAUACACAGGAGUUCUUUAGUUUCAGAAGUGAGAAAAGAAAAGAGGAAGUCAGUCAUUGGCGGAGGGUGGGAAGUGGAAGGAACAAACGAGUCCCAAUAACAGGAAGGAAGAAACUCAUUAAGUAGGAGUAUUAUACCACUACUACUCUUAUUCAGUCUGCCUUUUUGCCGUCCGCCUGCUGCGAUCUGUUCAUUGCAGCUGAACGCUUGUCUUCUUCAAUCUUCGAAUGUAUUUCAUCCCUCUCCUUGAAAUACCUCUCGAAUGCCCUCGGAAGAAAACGAGGGAUAAGAAAACAAAAGAGAUUGACGAAGAAAUACACAAAAUUUGCAGCCGCCAGGCCCCUUCCGAACCAAAACCAUGCGAUGUCCUGAAACAAGCAAUCAACGCAACGCAACGCAACUUGUCAGGAUCACAACAAAAUACUACUAUUUAACUUGCACCAUAAACACAAUUUUCAAUUACAUUCAUAAAAAAAAGGUGUUACGGUAUUGUUUUGAAAUAAUCUUUUUCCCCAAAUAGUCUCCGACGCAAUUAAACACACCUAUGCAUGAGUUGAGUUUAUGAUCAAUGCACUGCUCGACUUGCUUACCACUAAUUUAAUAAUUAAUCAAAAGCCACAAAAUUGCUUUGCGCAAUUAAUUACCCGGAAUUCAGCAUUUGCAGGCAAAGUUUUGUUCAGCCAGACGUCAUGUAUCCAAUCAAUGAUGACGAAAAUUCUCCUCACAGUGUAAAGCAAGGGGACUAGUGCUCUAACCGGAGGCGAGAACAACGAAAGCCCGCUUAUAAUGUUCUCGGUGAGUAUCUGAAAUGAGAGCAAGAAGAGGUGAGGGGUGGCUGACCGGACGGCAUGCUCAUCCCCUCUUGCAAAUCCUCCCAGAACAUAAGCUAAGGGCAAAAACAGGCCUACAGUAGUCCCGACAACUACAUAAAUUCGGAAAAGUCGACUUCCGCGGAAUAUCUCCUCCGACCCAGUUGUUCUACCAUGGGAUGGAAAUGCCAACCGGGAGAGUGUAAUUAGAUAAGCAGUGGUGAAUGCGGGAUACACAAUGUCAAGGAUGGGGACUAGGCCACUGGCAGAGAACACCAUAAUAAAUGCGACUAGUUGGAGCUCUAUGACACGGAGGGAUCCCAUUACUCCUCCAGCCGCUGCCACCUGCUGCUGUUGCUGUGGAAGUGGCUUCGGCGCCUGCUGUAGGCGAUGUUUUGUUCCGGAGCCGGAGGUCAUGGUUGUUGUCGUUUGAUCGUGCUCGGUACGGGGAGCCCCUGCAAUUGAUAGGCCUGACAUUUUCAAUUAGUAUUCUGCAGACGGACCAAAAUGUUUUUUUUUUUUGGAAGGUGUGCUGUGGUGGUAGAUUUCUUCGCGCAAUUAACCCCUGCCAAAGAAACAAGAAAUUUAAAAAAGAUUAAAAAAAAAAAAAGGCUUUUUCUAAGCGUAUCAAAACGACUACCAUUUCUGGAUACCAACAAUAUUAUGCUAGGCCUGGAAAAACGGGGAACAAUCAACAAUAAUAAAUGUUGCAGCAGCAGAGAACCAUAUAAGGUCAUGUCUUGUCUGGCAACAUAUACACCAAAAGAGUCGAGGGUCAAACAUAUAUACAGGUAGUGAGGAGGGCUCUUCUUGUUGGUGUUGGCUCGGAGCUCUUCGAUCUGCGGAGCUGUAGAAACAUACAUUUUGAAAUGAAGCCGGGGAAGAAAAAAGGCCCCGCUUUUGUGAGUGUACGUACUGCCAAGGUUUUAGCUUAGAAAUAUGGAGCAGUAUAGUAUAGAGAUCUCUGUCAUUAAGCAUCAAUUAAAGAUACUACUUAGUAUUUAUUAGACACACAAGUACACAAUGGCGUGCUAUCUUUAUCCAAAAUACUUCCUCUUGGUACAUCAUACAUGGCUCUCUCUCUCUCUCUCUCUCUCUAUAUAUAUAUUUAUAUUGGACCCAUGGCUCUCUCUCUCUCUCUCUCUAUAUAUAUAUAUAUAUAUAUAUAUAUUGGAAUGGUUGUGCUAUGCAGGCAAAUUUGGGCUCAGCUUUAAAGAGGAAAGGGGUAAAACGCACUGCAGAGCCCAACCAACCUGUAUGUAUAGCCCAUCAAUUCGUGUAUUACCCGAGGCGUUAAAUGUAGGAGCAAAAUUUUACCACCAAACACAUCAUCAAAUGUAUGUCGCUGUUACGUUACGGGAGAGAGAUUGGUCGGAUGGUUUCAGGGAGAGAGAUUACAUUUUUUAAAAAAAAAUGUGUAUCAUCAAAAUGGUCCAUAACAAAAUCAGCAGCAUGUAUGAUUACUACUACUACUACUACAAAAAAAAAGAAAAAAAAAAGAAGAGAAAGAAAGAAAGAAGGAAGAAUUAGAAGAAGCCAAUGACGUGUUUCAUAAACUCAGAUCAUAUAUAUAUAUAUAUAUAUAUAUAUAUAUAUAUAUAAACGAGAACUACUAAAUUCAUGCAAACUAUGAGAUACAGGAACAUCAAAUAUCAAGACAGAUGCACAACAACAUAUUAGUAUUCCAUAUAAUUGAUAAAAACAGGUAAUUCUCAAAAGGGGAUAGAGAUUCCAGACCAACUUACUCACCGCGCAAGUUAACAGCACGACGGAUGGAUGAGGGAUCAGAGGAAUAAGUGUUAAUAAAACUGCAGCUACUGGGAUCAGAGGAGAAAUUGAGAAGCAAUUUAGGAUCAUAUGAUUGGUGAGUAGGAGGAGUUGUUUUGAUGUCCAGUCCAUAUGUUGUCUGCGGAGCACUGAAACGUGUAAGCUGUUAGCGGAAUACAUGUUCUACGAUCCACGUGGGUCCGUUAUUGAACAACGCGUGGCAGCCUCAACCGUUUCGUUUGCUCCCUUAAUACUCUGUUGUGCCGCUAACAAUUGGACCCCACGCACGAAUGAAACAAACAAAACUCAGAGGGGGGAUUGUAAAAACAAAAUCCAGCCUCCCUUGUUGUGUGGCCGUAGCAUUGUGAAUCAAAAAAGGACUCGUUUCAGCAACUUAGGUGUAUUUGGAUGGCAUUUUUCUAGUUUUUUUUUUAUAAAAAAAAAAAAUUAUUGUAACGAUUUGAUAUAUGUGAGAUAAAAAGGUAAUUGAAAAAUGUGUUCAGAAAAAACGUAACAAUUUUUUUUUGAAAUCUACAACCCAAAUACACCGAAGUAGUGUUCAGUGCGUGCCAUUAAUAGAAAAAUAUUAUUAAAAUUUUAAGUAAUUUUGUAGUAUCAUUUUUCAGAAGAAUUGGUUUUCAUAUUUUUGACAAUAGAUAUUAAAAAAUUCACCGAAAUAGAUAGCUAUUUAGAAAUAAUUCAUGACCAUUAUUGACAUUUGAUCGUAUUAGAUGGUUAGCAAGAGAAGCUUAGAAAAAAUAUAAAGUGACACAAAUUUAUUUACACCAAAACUUUCCUCUUCCUUUAUUUAUUUAUAUAUAGUAUGUAUAGAUAUCGAAAAAUUUUAUAGUAAUACAAACUUCACAAGAUUGUGAGAACGAACUCCUUUAUUUCCUCCAUAGGUAGAAUAUUUUUGCUAUGUAUCAUCAGUUUGAGCGAUUAGGGUUAAAACAAACAAAAUAAAAAAAAAAAACCAAUUGAUCAAAUCCAUCAGACGGAAUAAUCAUCUGUCUAUUCAUUUUCCUGUCUAAUAUAAAACUAUAUAGUUCGACUUACUUAUACUGCUGAACAGGUAACAAACGUAAAAGAAUGAAGGACAGAAUGACAAAGAAAUUUAUUGCCGCCUGUUACUCAAACCGGAACACAGCCCUCAAACGUUCGUAAUCAUCCAGGGAGACGAGGAGCAUCGGUUUUUCUCAUCUUCCUGAUUUAGUUACUGCUGCUGUUAUAGUAUAUGCCUAAGCACUCGAUCGUACUAAUUACCCGUCAAAAGGCUCAAUUCUUAGCCAUAAAAUAGAUCUCCUUAGUUCCACAAGAAUUGCAAGAAACUUGGUAACGUAUACUUUGUUAGGCAUACCGUAAUAAUACAGGCAUAAUUAGUCACCGAGGUUAACGACCAAUUCGGAAUUUGGAUAGCCGUAUUUAAUCAAUCAAUUAGUACCAUUAGUAUUUUGUACUCCCAAGUUUCCAUGUAUCCAUUGCUCAAAAGGCUGGCUUAACUCAAAGCUGAAGGAUCAGGAUCAUCAUCAUCAUCCACGAAAUGAAUCUCUUCUAUGUUUGGUAGUAUCAAGGAUUAACCGCUUCUUCAUAAUUUACCAACAACAGCAGAGCAUUUAAUUAUAAUCAAUGAGCUGAAAUAAUGAAAAAUCAGCAUUCUCCGUUUAGCAGUAGCAGCAUUAUCAUCAAUUUCUUCCUUGCUCCCCCCUGGCCUUCCCCCCACCCACGCCCCCGGGGCGAAAUACCACAGAAAAAGAAAAAAAAAAAAAGUGAUAAUUUGGGGAAGAACCAAAAUGGCAUUUCGUACUACUUCCUCCUCAAGUUACCUGGUGGCACAAUUCCACAGCAUCCCGACUCAAGAAUCAAAUCCCAUUCUUAUGUCCAUCAGAACCGUAGAUCCAAAUCCAUGGUAAGCUGUUUACAGAAGUACAACCCCCAAAGCCAAAACUAAUUCUAGAAAGAAGGCAAAGACAAAACAUGCCAUGUCAUCACAAAAUACUAACAAAAUAACAAUCUCCAAUCCCACGCAGCACAAACUUGUGCAGCAGCUAUACAUGGCUCGACACUAGGCGUGUCAGUAGACAGCGGUAGUGCUUUCCCGGCAACUCAGUUGCCUUGCACCCUGCAACUGAGAAAUGGGGAAGGUACUAAACUAUUCAAGAAACGUUUCACAAAUUAGUGCCAAAAGAAACGUUCACAAAUUAGUGAUCUUGACCUUUCUACUUCCCUUACAAGAAACGUUCACAAAUUAGUGCCAAAAGAAAAAAAAUGGCGGAAAAAAAAAAAUUUCCAAGCUUCCUCUUUUAAUUCAUUCCCACUAUUUCUUUUUGCAUUCUAACACAUAGCAAGCACUCCAUUACUGCUAGUCUAAAGUUUUCUGCCUCUUCAGUUUCCCCUGUUUACUUGGAAAUUGGAAUCCAACCCCCGCCCCCUUCUUCUUCUUCUUCUUCGAAAAAAAAAAGCCUCGUAGAUUACCACUAUCAUAGAGGUACUGACAUUUAUAGUGUUACAUUUUGGCUUUGUGGAUUUAUAUCAGAUAUAUAAGCUCUUGAUAUUUUGAACUUGUUUUCUCGGCACAGAGAAAGAACGAGAAGGAUCAGAAUCCAGAAGAGAACAAUUCUUUAGAGACUUCAGAGGUCAAAAGCAAAGAGGAGAAUAUGAGCCCAAAAGGAAAUAUUGUCCUGCAAGUGUAUAUUCAUUGUCCAGGUUGUGAGGAAACUGUGGUCAAGAGCUUGAGGGGCUACGACGGUAAAUUGAAAAAAAAAGAUCCACAUUACUUUUGUGAAUCUGUAUCGAUACAUGGUUUUUUUCUUCUUUUUCUGUUAGUAAUGUGGGUGAAAAUGUGUAGGUGUCGAAGGAAUUGAGGUGGAUUCAAAGAAUCAUAUAGUUAUUGUCAAGGGAGAAAAGGCUGAUCCCACGAAGGUGGCAAAGAGGCUCAGGAAAAAAAGCGGCAAAUAUGUUAAGUUGAUCUCACCCAUUCCGCCAAAGGACAAGAAAGAAGAAAAGAAAGAAGAGAAAAGAGAGGUUUACGUUGUUAGUGCUAAUCUUACUAAAUAUGUCCAAAUUUUGUGUUCAUCAGUUAGAUGUUAAUCUUUGUUCAAUCACAUGUUUUACUUUAAUCGAAUUUGAUUGGUUGUUAAUGGGAUGUUUGUGCAGCCUAAGGGGGUUGAAGUGGUGCUUAAAGUGCACCUGCAUUGCGAAGGCUGUGCCAAGGAUGUUAAGCAUUGCAUCCAUAAGAUGCCUGGUAUGUUGAACUUUCGUAUAUUGAUAAUUGGAUUCUUUUACCCUUUUCCUUUUUGCCUGUCCAGUUUGCAUUAAUUUUUCAGUUGAAAUGUUAAAACUGGAACUGAGAGAGAGUGUCGUUGAUUUAUGGUUUGCAGGAGUACGAACUGUUGAGCCUAAUAUGGAGAAGAAUAUGGUGACUGUAAAGGGAGGAAUUGAACCACAAAAGCUUGUGGAGUUUGUGAAGAAAAGAGCAGGGAAGCAUGCUGAGAUUGAGAUUGUUAAACCAGAAAAGCAAAAACAAAGUGAGGACAAGAAGAAUGGGAAAGAAUGCGAGACUGAGAAGCAUUGCAACAAGAGUGGUGGGAAAGAAUGGUACGCCAAUUUCUGCCCUGAACUUGUCUAUGCCCCUCAAUUGUUCAGCGACGAAAAUCCCAAUGCCUGCUCUAUUAUGUGAGCGGAGAUGAGAAUUGAGAAGAGUCGGUUACUCUCGAGGCCUAAGUCUGCUACUAAUUUUUGCUGAGCACUCCGACUCCAAAUGUAAUUACUAUUUCUUUCAUGUCAAAAAUGUUUUUUAUUUGUAGAUGAUCAUGAGCUAGUAAGAAGGGGAGAAAUUAGAUAAAGACUUUAGACUGCCAAUUUUUCUCAUUUCUCACUUUUUCCUCUAAAAGGACAAGAAUACACAUUCGUAUGUGAGCGCGCGCGUACGUGUUUUUGUGCACUAUAAGACAGCUGCUUAUGAUAAAAAAUACUAGUAGAUCUUUCCGGUUUGGAUUGCUAUUUUUAAGAGUUUUUGUAAUAUGGAUUGAUGUAUGUGAUAUACAAAGAUGAUUGAUAAAUGUGUUUACGAAAAACGUAAAAAUUUUCCGCAUUCCAAACAAGUUAUAUACCCAAUAAUUUCAUCCCUUAAUUAAGUCCAAAAUAAAAGGAAAGAAGAGUAAAUUAUUAAAAACGGUCCAAUCAAAAAGCAAGUGGAUACAUUUUUCAGCCUAAUUUCUUCUUGUCUUGGCACUUGUCUAAAAAAGAAUAUGUGAUCCACCAACAUUAAUGGGAUGGGGAAUGGGUAAAUGGUAAGCUAUUAAAAAUAAGAGAGUAUGAUGAUUGAGAAAUUAUAGAUAAUUACGUUUAUGUUUGUAUGAAUGAAAUGUGUACUAUAAUGAGAAUUUUUCAAAUAAAAAUUUUAAAUAAGGAAAGCUAAGGAAGAGGUGUCCAAGACAACACUGACCUGGGAAAAAUUAAUUAAAACAAAAGUCAACGUGGACAUGGCUUGAGCUUUGGUUUACAUACAGGGUUAAUUGCAAUUUAUCCCAUAAAUGUCUAUCCUAAUUCUUUUUUACUUUACCCCUUAGCUUUAUUUUGUGUCACUUAACCUCCUAAAAAAAAAAAUACCCCCUCUACUAUGUAAGUUUUUUUUUUCAUUUUUUCUCUCUUCUCUUUUUUUAAUUUCAAAUUAGUUUUCUUUUAUCAAAUUUUUGUUUCUAAGAAAAUAAUAAAUUUUUCUAACAAAAAUACUAUAAUAUUUUUUUGAUGUAAUAUAUGCAAAAUAAAAAGGUAAUUAAAAAAAUUGUUGAUGAAGUUAGUAAAUAUUGAUAAUUGAAACUACUAAAAAUAUUAUAACACUUCUUUUAAUUUGAUAUAUGCAAGAUAAAAAGAUAGAUUGAAAAAUGUGUUGAUGCAAGCAAACAAAUAUUACUAAUUGCUACUAAAAAUUAUUGGUAAUUGAAACUAGAGUUAUUUAAUGAGUUCAAUAGAGAUAGUUAGGAUGCAUAAGAGAAAUUCGCCAUUUAUGAGGUCAAAUUUGGAUAAAUAAGAGAAAACGUCACCCGAGAAUGAGAAGCCCAUCCCGGCUCCCGCCACAAACCAGAAACCGGGACCACAGCAACCUCGCAAACAACCCACAACGUUACAAUUUUUCAACCACUUACAUUUCGCCACGCCUGCAAAACCACCGGUCCCAGGUCAAAGCAACUCUUUUGGUUCACCCGGCUCAUGUUAGCUUCAGCCCCUGAAAACCAUUCAACAACCCCCAUCCCCGGUCAGGAAAAAGAUCCGUUAAACGAAACUCCGUUAGAUUCCUCCACGUGUCCAAGUUCCUCCCCGUCGUCAAAAUCUACCCGUUAAAUCUAAUUCCUCCAUCUUCCUCUUUCUCUUUCCCUCUCUCUCUCCUCUGCAACGUCUCCAUUGACGAAGAAGAAAAAAAAAAUUCGAAAUCCAAUUUUUGUUGCAUUUUUCCAUUUUUUUUCAUAAAAGAUUUGAGAAAUGGGAAAGUUAAUUUGCGACUCGACGGCGUCGUCACCGGUCAUCCCAUGGAGAGACCCAACUUCAACUCCAACGGUGGAUCUCGUUGACCAGUCAACGGCCGGCCCGCCAACAACAACGACGUCGUGGGAUGACGUUUCAGGAUUAGAGGAGCAGCAGAAAAGGCACCUGACGAGGCUGCAGGCAAAAGGGGUUUUGUGGAAGCAUCCAGAGGAUCAGAACAUGUCGGUCGUCUUCAGGUUAAGUCACGGCGGAGAGGUGGAAGCCGACGGAAAUUGUUUGUUUACGGCGUCGAGGAAGGCCAUGGGGUCAGUUUUAACGGCAAAGGAGUUGAGGCGGAGGACGGUGAGGAGGUUCUUGGAGGAUCUUGGAUCCGCGACUAAUGAGGUCAGGGAAAAGAUUGAAUCGGCAAUUAAGCAUAUGUAUUCGCCGGAUCUGAAGUCCGGUUGGGGGAUCCAUGUGGUUCAGGAGAUUAAGUUGUUGGCUAAGAAAGAAGAUCGUCUGGGUCUUGAUUCCGCCAUCAAUGAGCUACUACAGCUUGGGAUGCAGAGGUAUUUCGUAUUUAUGUUUCUUUUCUUGUUUCUGUUUAAAAGAAUAACCUCUCUUUACUUUCUCGUCUUAAAUAUUGGUCUGUUUCCAUUUUUUAGAGUUUUCCUUCAUCUUUUGGAAAACUAUGGCCAUUUCUUGGUUUUGGGUUCUUUAUUAUCCGCUUUAAUUUUAUGCCGUAAGUGGCCUUAUUUUCCUUCUUAGGUGAAAGUUGGAAACAGAUGAAUGUAAUGUAUCGACGCCUGUGCCAGUGGCCUGCUUUAUCUUUCAUGUUUUUGGUUUCUGUUUUUUCUUCCUUGAACUACUUGGGUUCAAGAAGAAAUUUGGGUGAUGGGGCGAGAAAUGAUGGGGAAAAACAUAUAAAUUUCAAUCCUGGGUUGCCCCUUGAAAAUGGUUAUUUCAAUUUUCGGCUUGAAUAAGAAUUGAGAUGGGACUUGAGUUCCUUUUCUUGGUUUAAAUAACUUAUCUGUCAAUUUUGCUGGCUACUAUUUAAGGUCUGAGGAGCUAUAUGUUAUCUCUGUUAAUUUUUACUGUUAAUCAAUAACAGAUUUUUGAAUAGGAUUCAAAUUUUUAGUUUGUCAGACUUGGCAUUGUUGACUCUAUUCCUUCUUAUUAUCUGUUUGUUUGGUUGUAUAAUUGGAUAGAAUGGAUUCUGUUUGCAGGAUGAGAUGGGGUAUAACUGGUUCUGUAGACUGCCUUUCAAGUUUUCUGAACUUGUUAUGUAUGUGUGUCUUCUUGUUUCUUGAUUGUACUUUCUUCUUGAUGAUUGUAGAGAAUUGGCUGCGGAUUCUAUUUACAAAGAGAGAUGUAUAGCUGUCGACAAUGGUUCAAGUUGGGCAAAGUACAUGUCAAUCUCUGGUUCCCCUGAUGAUGAAUAUGAAAUUAUCACUUUGCAAUACACAGAUGAGGGUUUGCUGACUGUAGAUGAGAAUAGAGAUGGCCAUGCUGCUGCUUUUGGAGAUGACAUUGCAAUAGAGUGUCUUGCGACGGAGUUCAAAAGAGAGAUCUUUGUGGUAAGAGGUUUUUGUCCUUUUAUGCGUUUCAACCUUCCCCUAUCUGUGUAUUUCUAUUCUAUGUCAUCGUUGCACAACUCCUGACUUUGCUGAACAUUCAGGCCUUGUUCUGAUGAACUGCUGAUCCGCUGAGAUCCAGUGUAGUGUGUGUUUCCUUGGGACAGAAAUACAUUUUGACGCCAAGAUUAGAUGAAAUUUAAUCAUGUCCUAAUGUUACUUGUAAAAAUUAUAGAACCUACAACCAGAUAUACUUAUAUUUGACCUGAUGUAUUGUAGCUGUGAUCUAUCUUGUUCUCAAAGUCUCCGUUAUCUAUGCCUCUGUUUUUAUCUCCUUCUAUUUCCUCUAGCUCCAGAUUUUUCUUUGUGAUUUGGUGGUUGGGAAAUAAGGGUUCAAAUGAGAUGAAGAAUUUAUGGUGCACCUAUGAGACAAUGUUAGUUGGGGAGUUAGAAUGAAAGUAGAUUACAGCUCUGUGUUCUUUACAGACCAGGUCUGUGUUAAGGGAUAAUUUUCUUUACAUACCAGCUCUGUGUUCUUUUGCAUCAUAUUUAUUUGUUCUGUGUUCUUUUUCUUGAAUUUGCUUUAAUACAGUUUCCUUCUUAUCCUCUUCUUGGUUUUCAUAUUCCUAACUUUAUUUGCGCUGUAUAAAGUGCAUUGAAGUCUGUAAUAGAUAACAAUUUGCCGAAUUCUACAAUGUUGUCAUUAAAGUUCUCAAUUUUUGAAUUGCAUCCUAAGUUCAGAAUCCAUCAGUGCAGUUGAAUUGUGAGAGAUGUUGCUUAUUUACUGAUCAAUCAUAUACAGGUGCAAGCACAUGGAUCAGAUGCAAUGGUUGAUGAAGAUAAUUGUGUUUUCUUCUUACCACAUCGGCCAAGGAGUGAAAUCUGUGAACCCCCUUUUUUUCUUUUCAUGAAGGGAACAGGUAAUUAUAACUAAAAAUAGGUGUUUAUGUCAUCGCACCUUCUUUUUUAGUGCCCUUUUCAAGGUUGAAAAAUGACAUAAAACUCUACACGUAGCCUGAUGGAGCAUGAUCUUCAAUGGAUUCAUGUGCUCUCUUUUACUCUUUUAACAGUCUGGAGUACAGUUAUAAAUGAUUACAAUCUUGCUCUUACAGGUUGGUGCGGCGCUGGUGGUGACCAUUAUGAGCCUCUUAUUGCUCAUCCUUCCUCAUUUGUCUCCCAGGAGAAGGUUGCCAUGGUUCUUUAGAUGAUUAGCUUUCGCAAGUUUUUGUCUUUGAGAUGACGAGUAGAAUUUAGUUAUUGAUGAAGUGUCUUCCCUGCGCUUUGCCUGAAAUAUUCUUCCGGCUUCUUUACUAGACAGAUAGGGAUGCAAGUCCACUGCGCGGCUUCAAUUGUUUGUCUACAGUUUCUAGAGUUGAAGAAUGACUGUUUAGGGGCGUCCAAAAUUUUGUAACAAUUAGAGUCGGUACAUCUUUGACGCUGACUAGCAGAUGCUGCAUCUGCAUUUGAGGAUCUUGUAGUUUGGUAAUUCUUUUCGGGCCCAUUAUUGUUGUUGUCAAUUGUUUUGGAGAGCAUAGAGGGUGGGUGGUGGUGGUAUUGGUUGGUGCUAUGCGCUUGAAGUGGAAUAGUACCUUUUUGUUGUAUUUCGUACUGAGUUUUAUAUAGCUUGAGAUGGAAAUGAAUUUUAGUUUCACUUCCUCUGCAUUUUUAUAGUGAGCGGGAAAAGAAUUUUCGUACUCAUUUAGCCACUGUCUGGGUGGUUGAUCUUUCUAUGUUUCAACUGACUUGGCUGAAACUUCAACUCGCAUGUGAUGGAAGCAUACUUUUCUGUAGAGGUUUUAAAGGAUAAAUAAAUGGUCUACAUGCGUACCAGAAGCGUCAGAAAUGCAAAACCCAGGCAUCGAGUUAUAUGUCAUAAUAGGUUUGUUGUCUUUUGACUCCUUUCAGUGUUUUUAACUUUCUAACUGAGCCUUAAGUAGGCUUGAGCGGUUUUGGAACCAAAGUCGUUUUCGUACAGGGUUUGAAAGGAAAAUGCUCAAAGUCGAGAAACAGAAAAAACAUUAAAAUAUCUAUUUUACUCUAUUAUAUAUAAAGGGAGAUGGAUGGGUUGGCGUAAAUUUUUUUUGUAUCACUUUAUGUUUUUCUUAAACUAUCUUUUGAUGACUACCCGUUUCUAAGUUCUAACUUUCAAUAUAUCCUUUUUCAAUUAAUAUGUGUCUUUUAUUAUUUUGUUUUCCAACUUAUUUAGUAAACCUUAAUUUUAUUAAAAUUAGAAACUAUCAAUCAUGGUUAUGAAUUACUAUUAAAUAAUUACUUAUUUAUAUAUUUUAUUUUAGUGGAUUUUCUACAUAUGUACUAUUAUGAUAUAAAACUAAUUCUCUAGAAAAUGAUUUUUAAGUAUGGUGAAAAAAUUUGACACAAAUUUUGUUUAUUAGUUGCACACACAUUUGUAUUUGUAUUCGUGUGUGCCUUGAACACUAGGGAUCUGUUUGAUAGCAUCAAAAAGUGCUGAAUCUGAACUUUUUCAGACAUUCAGAUGUUUUGAGUGUUUGAUAAAUGAAAAUCCAUUUGCUGAACUUGUCAAGUAGUGUUGAACUUGUGUGUAUUUUUUUCAGGGAAAAAUGCACUUUACAUCCUCAAAGGUUGGGUUGAUGACCAAUUUCGUCCUCAAAGUUUCACCAAUAAUACAUUUCAUCCUCAAAGUUCUUGAAUUUUGGCCAAUUAGGGACAAUUGACAGAAUAACACUCAAUUUGGACGGAAAGCUGCACGUGAGAAACAUACUCUGUUAGAACCAACAAAAAAGGGAUAAAAGCUGUUCAGAAGUGCAGACACUAAUAUUAUAACUUUUGAAUUCUAUAUUCUGUACCUUUGUUUUAUUUUGUUCAUGGUCCAUAUUCAAUAGGAACCAUGUCAAUGACCACUUGGAAUGCACUUUUGACAAGCCUAUGCCUCUUUUUUUUGAUGGUUUUAAUUGGUUAUAUUAAUUUGGAUACAAUAUCCAGUUUGGUUGCUACUUCGGAUUGUUAAAAUUUUAGACAAAACUCUACCAAAACUUUCCUUCUUAUCUUAUUGACAUGUAAAUCAGCAUCAAGAUAAAAAUAGCUGGUGGUUUUUUUUAUAUAAUGCCUAUUUUAGGUUGGAAUUGAAAAUCAUACACAUAAAUAACUGGUAGUUUUUUUUGAAAUAAUGGACGAAAGCAACAAACGGCUGAUAGUCUAUGGGAAAUAAAAGAAACCCACAAAGAAUCCCAUGCAUUUUUUUUUUACGAAACGAUAGGAGUUUUUAUUUAUAGUUAUCAAAGUAUAUACAAGUUGGACUCAGUCCCCUAAUACAAUAGUAGUGCAAAAUUGAACUAAGGAGAUAAAAAAAGAAGUAAUAAAGAGGUGAUAAAUUUUGGACAAGAUAAAUGAAAGGGAUAAUUUCAGAAACCUCAGGGGAGGUUUCUGACAAUUUCACUCACCUCCCUUAGUUUUGAAUAAUUGCACUAACUUCCAUUUAUGCAAUAAAAUGACUAUAAUAUCCUUCACUUAUAGAUAAUUUCUAAAAAAGCCUACAACUAAAACUAAUAUUUCAUUUUAAAACAACAGCUACCACACAAAACAAACUCUUAUUCUCUCUCUCGAUCCUCUUGCUUACCUUUUCUCUCAUGUAUUUCAUAGUCCACUUUUUUCCAUAGUCGCCAUCUACACAAUUAUCUAAUACAUUCCAAAUCCUCAUUAUUAUGGAAAUAGAUCCUCUCUUUUUUUUUUCCUUUUUUGUAAGUAUUAUUGAAUUGAAAUUGCUAAACGACAAGUUGUCAAAGCAUAUUUGUUGUCAAACUAAAUGAAGAUAAAAAAAAAUGGCGAUGAUACAGAGUAUAAACAAGAAAAUAAUAAUGAUGGCUAAAAACGAAACAUAGAUUGAGGAAGAUUACACUAUUAUACCAAAUGUGCAAGGAAAAAAAAAUUUGGGAUAUAAGAACUAUAAUCAAAUUUGCCUAAAGACAUAGAAUGUGAUCUCUAAUGUUGCUUUUGGUUGCUCCAUGUUGGUAUUCUUGAUAGGUUAGAUUAUUUUAGCGUCAACAAGUUUGCAUUCAUUUUGAUUGAAUUUGAAUAUUGACAUUGGUCAAUUUAGAGGCAAAAUUUAGGCAAAAAAAAAAAAUUGAGGUAAAGAUUAGGUUGAAUGCAAAUGUUAAUUGUCAUGAUUGAUUUGCACAAGAAGGUUUAGGGCUGCAAAGUUGGGCUUUCGAAAUUAUGAGAAUACGAGGAUUAAGUUAAAGUGGCUUAUUGACUUCGUUAGGGUAGUAGUUAUGCCGAUUGUAAUAGUUGCAAUGUGGAAGAAAUUCAUAAGCGAGUUUUCCCCCCUUCUAACUAACAAAGGGGUAUUUUAGGAUUUUUAGGACAAAUUUAACAUAGUGGAUUUAUAUUGUUACUGAAAUGCUAAUAGUAGAGAAGGUAGGUGUAAUCUUUUAAAUUAGAAGGGACCUACCUGCAAUAGUCAAAAACCUCCCCUGAGGUUUCUGAAAUCAUCCCUAAAAUAAAGUUAUAAAUAGCUGGUAGUUUCUGUAUAAGAUAAAGAAACAACAACCAAUCAGCUUUUUAUAGCUUUCAUCUAUUUUUGCAAAUAGGGUUUCCUCUAUUAUAUAUCUUUUUGAUAGGUAAAAAAUAAAAAAUAAAAUAAAUUAAAAAGGAUGGACUAAUUUAAUGCGUUUGGAUAGAUACUCAAAUCUAAGUCAUUUAUAAUGCAUGAAUAAGUGGAUGUCGACCAUUUAUGUCAACCUUCUUGCCAGCAAAUGACUGGAUUUAGAAUAGUAAGAGUGGUUAGAACUUUUUUUAGAACUACAACAAAUAGAAUAGCAGAGAGGACAUAAAUGAAGCAAGAACAGGUUUUACCCAUUUUUUAUUGGGUACAAAGUCGGUUCUAAUAGGCCAUGUUUCUUACGUACAGCUUUCCGUCCAAAUUGAGUGUUAUUCUGUCAAUUGUCUCUAAUUGGCCAAAAUUCAGGAACUUUGAGAAUGAAAUGUAUUCUUGGUGAAACUUUGAGGACGAAAUUGGUCAUUCAUGCAACCUUUGAGGAUGAAAAGUGCAUUUUUUCCAUUUUUUUCAGCACAAGAAUCCUAACUGAAUGCUUAAUUUUGAUAAGAAUCAAUAGAAUUACUUCAACUACCUUAUCUUAUCUACCAAAUAUACCCUUGUUUAUUAAUUAUGUUCAACAUUCUUAUAUAAUUAAACAACCUAAUAUUCUCUAUCUAAUGAUUUUCUAUUUCUCAUUUCUCCCUUUUGAAUGACUUUCACUUUUUCUCCAUACUCCUCAUAUAAUAUAAUUCAUCUUUUAUAUUAAUUUGAUUUAAAAAUAAAUAUUGUCAUUUUCAUACCUAACAUUUUUAGCUAAUUAAAUCACAGGUUCUAUUUCUUUUUUGGAUGAAAAGAUAUAAGGGCAAAAUUGUCAAAUUUAACUUAUUAAGCAUUCAAUUAUAAAUGUUUAUCAAACAGUAUAAAUAGGUUUAGCAUUAAAAUUCAGACAUUCAUAUAUUUCUUUUCAGUGCUUAAAAUUCAACAAAUUAAUUGUUUCAGUAUUCAAAUUUCAGAAUUUAGACUUUAGAAUUCAGAUUCAGUUUUUUGUCAAACGAAACCUAGGUUCGGAACGUGCGUUUGUUGUCCGCGUCACUAACAACACAGCCAACAGGACGACACGUUUGCCAACUCGGAUAUGGGAAUUCGACUUCCGGGCUUCGAAUAUGCUUUAUAACGACAAUGGGCUUGGUUCGGUAAAAGAAUCACAACCACAUGAACUAGAGUGGAGGGCGCAUGAGGUUCAGGCGUUGCAUUUCACGCUUUUGAUUCUCUUAUUUAGGGGAUCUCAAGGCGUGUGAUGCAGGGAAAAAAAAAUCACGCAUUUAGGGUAGGUAGUAGCAGAAAGUUGAAUCACGAAAAGCAGCCUCGCAAACUCACGAAUAUGGUCUUAUAACUUCGCUUCUAUAAAUGAUUGAAAUGCUUUCCAUUUUCUGUUUCUUUUUAGCCUCUAUUCACUCCCUCUCUCUCCCCUUUUCCCUUCCUUUUUCCUUUGUAUUUUCAUUUUUCAACCCGCUAUCUCUGCAGGCGCUAGUGGAGCAUAAAAUGAAAUAUAUGCUUUUCAAACAACCUUUCCGUCAAGAAAUUAAUAAUAUUAUUACUAUAUCCUUGACUAAAGGCACCAAAUAUAACUUUUUUUGUUUUUGAUUUUUGAGACAAAGGUAGAUUUAGCUAGCUGAAGGAGGAGGAAAUAUCGCAGCAACCGGAGAAUCCAUACCGCCAAGACAAAAGUUAAAAUCAAACCCAAAAAAAAAAAAAAAAAAGUUCACAACACUUGUGCUCGCAAAAGUAUACUAGCUACGUACUAGAAAAGAAAUUGUAGUAUUGAAUCUCCUGCCCGCACGACCAUCCAGGCCAGCAUGGCCCCAUCACUCCCAUCUGCCAUCUCCGUGGGUGCAACCAUUGCUUAAAUACCCAAAAUUUCAACAUUCCGUGCCCGACCCUUUUUCUAGUUACUUCUUGAUUCACAGCCUAAGAGGGAUUGACUAUGUCAUUUCUAGCCUCACAGCAUCUCUCUACAUCCUCAAUGACCAUGGAAUCAUUUACGUUAAAAAAAAAAAAAAAGAAUUUCCCAUUUAAAGAUAAGUAAUAGUACAUGUAAUAGGUGAGCGCGUGCUGAGACUCCGGUGUAUAUCGUAUGUACUAAUUGGUAUUUUCAAAAGGGAUAAUUUCACAAACCUCCCCUAAGGUUUCUGACAAUUGCACUGACUCUCCCUUAAGUUUUAAAAAUUUCACUGACCACCCUUGCUUUUGAGAUUUUGGUAAUAAUUCAGUCCCAAUAGGAUUAAAAUAUUAUUUUCAUGAGUGAUAUGAGAUUUUUAUUCCAUGAAUGUCCUCUUGGUCCCGUAUUAGUAGAAGAUUGCAAGUUAUUAAAAAGUUGAAAUGAUUAGUAAAGUUGAGGGGGUGUAAAUGCAAUUCAAGAACUUUCAAGCACCACAUGGAAACACAAGCAAUGUUUUAACAACCAUAGCAACAGCUACCUGCAAGUUCCAAUAGCUAGAUUUUUGAUUCAGCACCAAGUGUAUAUAAAUAUCACAACUGCAUCCACACCCUCGAGAUUAUUAUUGUGAGCAACAAGAGUUUGGGUGCAUAUAAAGUUAUUGUUUUGUGCUGCAUUUAGGGUUCAUAGCGAAAACAUUUAGUAGAAAUUAUGGCCUCUUCAAGCCAUAUGGGAGAAUUAUGGAAUUCACCAACAUCUUUCAACAAAAAAAAUACAACUUUUACUUAACAUAAGAUUCAGAAUAACACAAAAAAAUUUCCUUCAACUCUUAAUAAUUUUCUAUUAUCCCUUCCUCACUGUAUAAAUUUACACAUAACAACAUGAUGCAUGAAAUACAAGAAUUUAGUUUUAUUACCAACUCAAAAAUCUAUUGAUCAAGCAAGACAGUUCUAUUUCUUCCCUUCUAGUUAUAUGACUACAAUAUCAGAAACUUGUUCAAUCAUCCUUGUCAAAUCAUACUAGUCACAAAAAUGGUCUCAAAUUUCUUCCUCAAUUGGUGCCUUUUUGUAAUGGAGUUUUAAUCAACUUAAUUAGACAUCAAAAUUCUAUUAUUCUAGUUAAAUGUAAUUAACUAGUUUAGAUGCAUUUGUUUCCCAAAUUUACGUUAGCUUUUAGUCCCAACUUCACAGGACAAAGUGGUAAUUUCAACUAUCAUGAUGUAAGCUAAGGAUUCCAAAUCUCUGUCAGGGGAGGUAAGUGAGAUUUUUAAAAUCUCGAGGUGUGUCAGUGCAAAUGUCAAAUGUCAGAAAGUUUAGGGGAGGUUUGUCGAAUUAUCCCUUUUCACAACGAUAUGUUAGUCUUUGAUGGUAGCAAGGCGGUUGCUUAAUAGUGAGGUGAACCAUGUAUACGCACGUGAGACUAUAAUAAUGUGAUUUUUUCUUUUUUGGACGGACGAAAGUUACUUUAUGGCUUUGGAAGAUGACGUUUUAAUAUCCAAAACGUACCGGGCGGUGGAUACACCACUUCCUUUGGCUCCUUCAGUAUUAGCCGUUCUUUCUCCUUACAUUCCUUGAUGCAAACGUGCUAAUAAUUUGCUCUACAAUUAUGGGAUCAGGGCUCACAAGUUGAGUCACUGCCUCGUGUGAUUCUCACAACCUUCAAUAUAAAAUCAUAUAGUAUGAGUAUAAAUUCGAAUUUAUCAACUUAUACAACUAAAUUGAUUACAUUAAAAUUGCACAAAUUUAUAUCCAAUGUUAUAAGAAUUACACGAACUGAACAGAAAUCAAUUCAGCGAGUUGUUAGAACUUUGAUCCUCAAUUACGAGGCAUAAAAGUGCACCUAACAUUGACAGUAGUACAAGCAUUUGUAUAAGAGAAAGCAUAGUUUGUGGGCACAUAUGAUGCCAGCCAGACAGCGACGGCUUCUCUUCCAACCAAACAUUAACAAAUUAUAACGUUGAGACGCCAUGGUGUUACUGAACCAAUCAAAUACUGUUGAAGUUGGGCGGCAAAAGAUGAAAUCCCCAUGAUGUUGACAAGUAUCUGUUGUUUAAUUGAUACUAACCUUGAGUGGACCAGCAGAUGCAUGCUAGCCCAGAGAGAUGGCCAAGAAUGAGCUGGUUAUUAGCCGAAACCACACAGGAACAUUAACGCCGGCUUUUCUAAUAAGGGUCACUAAUAACUAGAGCUGUUAAUCGAAUCGAGUAGCUCGUGAGCUGAGCUCGACCCGGCUCGAUAAGGGCUCAACUCGGCUCGUUUACUGAGAGAAACGAGCCGAGCUCUAGUUCAACUUUAGGCUCGUUUAAUAGACGAGCCGAGCUAUGCUCGACUCGUUUAAACUCGAUAGGCUCAAAUAGUAGGGUCAUUAGCAUCAUUUCAUUGUGUAUUUGAUACUUUUACCUAAUUCAUUCUUCCGUUUCUAGCCCUAAUUUUUUCUUUCCUCUUUCAGUCUUGCCCUAAUGUUCAUCUCCCAAACGAGCUCGAGCUCGAUAAACUCGGCUCAAUUUUGAACUCGAGUUCGAGAUCGAGCUCGAGUUUUCGAUCGAGUACACCGAGUCGAUCUUGAAUAGCUUGUGAAGCUCGAAUUACUAAUCGAGCGAGCUCGACUAGCUCGAUUAGAGGUUCAAAUCGAGCUCGAUUAUCAUGUGCUCAAGCACGAUUCGGCUCGAUUAAUAGCUCUACUAAUAACUAGCCCAGAAAUGCUAAGUGUACAAAUUUUUAAGAUUAAUCAAGUGCAGAGUUCACAAAAUGAACUUCAAUUCCUUGAGUGAGUCUUUCAGGCUUCCCCUCUUUUUCUCCCACUUACUCUCAUCAUCAUAUUGUGACGGUAAAAUUUACUUGACUAAAUUGAUCAUCAAAAUCGUUUCAUGCAUAUGAAGAUAGGUAUUUCUUAACCCAACGCGCCUCGGGCCAAGAUGACUACAAAGAAGCAAAUUCUUCGUAGGUUUGAAGAAGUUACUGAUUAUAGCAUAACUAACCAAUUUUCAUUUUUAUCACUUGGUUUAUUUACUUUGCUACGUAAAGGCUUUUGUUGUUGACUGAAGGGUAAUUAUAUAGUAUUAUCUUAUGCUGCAAGGAAAUGUUUCUUGGUUGCAAAUUCAAAAUCACGCUUUGAAUAAAACCGGAUUCCAUAGACCGAACAAUACACAAUUACACGUUGGCGAGCCCACUACUCUUUCUUUAUGGAAAAAAGGAAAAAAGUUACCAACUUUAAUUAAGCGACCACUAACCGAGCACGAUAUUUUUUUUGGGGGGGGGGCUGUUCUUUUGAUACGCAGAACCAUGCUUGGAAUUAUGUAGCAGAGAAUAAUAUAUAGCAAUGUGAUGAAUCAAAAUUGCAUCUUCCUUUAAUAUUGGGUCUCCACGCCAUUAUAAAAGCCAUGUUUUCCCUGGCACUAAGUUUCGUGAGAUAUUUGGGGGAAACCUCAGUUUCCUAGCUAGCUCCCCCUAGAAUUCUCUCCCACUGCUUUUACAUCUUCUACAACGUUCAUUCAAUCUCUUACAAACGAUUCUUAACUGGUCAGAAGAUGUACCAAUGGAUUCAAUCAAAGCACAGAAGCUUCAAGCCCUGAAAAACUACAAGAGAACUCAAUUUCUCUACAAUCUCAUGGUUUACUCUCUCACGGCUUUUCUUUCUACUUUGUUUUAUUUACACUUGUUUUGGUUCCCAUCCAUGAAGCACUUCUUCUCCAUCUUUCUCCCAAACAUCUGUUCGUUCUUUUUGAGCACCAAGUUCUUGUUCAUAGUGGGGAAUGUCAUAGUUCUCUUCCUAGUCGGACAAUCAAAGCUAGGAGGAGGAGGUUCACAGUAUUCAUCCCCAGCCGCAGAGAUUUACGAUGAGUAUGUACGGUUCCAGAGAAGUAGUCCAAGUCUUAGGGAGAGAUCAAUCAGGCUUCAUGAGUACAAGAAGAAGAAUAAGGAUGGGAAAGUGUGGGACGUGCGUACGAGUAUUAAUAGAAAGUGCAUGAGUCUGGAUGCAAUGAGUACUCAUGUAUAUCUUAAAGAGUAUGAGAAGGAAAAUGAAACACAAGUAGAAACAAAUAAUAGUGGCAAAGCUGUAGUUUUCGAGGUUGAUGCCGUGGAAGGAAAGCUAGGAAGAAGAGGAGAAGUAAAAGAAGAAGAGGAAGGAGACAAACAAGAACAAAAGCCUACUCAGGUUUUGGCAAAGGAUGAGUUAAAUCGACGAGUUGAGGAGUUCAUUGCAAGAGUUAAUAGACAAAGGAGGCUUGAAGAAAGACAAGUGCUGGAUCGCUGGUGAAUACUACUCAUUAUGGUUUUGAGGACGAGAAUAUGUACUUCACUAGGAAAACCUAAUUUUAUAUAGGUGCCAAGAGAUUAAUGUAUUGAUCACUUGCUUAAUAAAAACUAUCAAACAAGUUGAGACUAUUCCAAAUAAAUGUUUAAUUAGACGAGUUUCCAAGCAUGGGGUGACUAAUGUCAUGUUUAUGAUGAUUGAUCGUUAUGUAGCCGAGUUGCCUUGUAUAUAUGCAGGAUGGUCCUAUAAAUUAAGCAUGAUGAUGACAAAAAAAAAUGACAAAGCCCCCAUAUAUGUAGUUAGUUUAACCACACGGCAAACUCAUUCCUUAUAAUCAAGACACUUCUAUUUUUAUUUUUAAUGUUUUAUGUUUCGCUUUUUCUAGUAGAAUGGAGUCAUGCGGUGAAUAUUUCAGUAGUUACUUGCACGUAAUUAUAAUAAUUUGUAUGCCACAAUUGAACCGACAAAAUGUGAAAAUCAGUUGAUUAAGGGAAGGCCAUGGAUCCUGUUUCGAGCCGAUCUUUCUUUCAUUUCUAAAAUUUCGUCUUCGACCAAGUGUAAAGGUAUUUCGUUCUUCCAUGAACCAAAAGAAGAUGAGGAAAAAGUGGCCGAAGAUGUUGGAGCUUGGACUACUUGUUCCUGGCAUGAAAAGUCGUGACAUUCACUCAACAGUAAUAUAUAGCCCUUCUCGACCAUUAUUAUUAGAAUUAAUCUUCUGUACGGUGACAGUGUAUACACUUUCAUCAUUUGAUGCAUGAUACAUAAUUCGAAUUUGAAACUUAAAUUUUACAUGUGUGUCAUUAUCCAACCGUGAUAGUGUAUAUAUCGUCAGUCAGUGUAUAUAAGAUUUGCUUUUAUUUUUAUUAUUAUUACUACUUAGCAUUAUUUUUCUUCGAAAGCCCAUCUUGACCAUUAGCAGGAAAAGUAUAAUCAACCAGAGAGAAGGGGCCAAAAAAAAAGGUCAGACAGAAUACUGAAUACGCAAUGAGAAAGUCAGGGAAGUACUAAGAGUUAAAAGCGAGCAAGUGGAGUGCUUUUGCUAGUGCUAGCUACCCAGAUUUUGUUGCCUGAUUAAAGCCUUAAAUGUCGAACAUGAUAAAUACUCCGACCAAAAAGGAAGGAGAAGAAGAGGAAGGAGAAAGCGUCUGUAACCAGACACUUCCACGUACAGUGCAUGCAAUCCAAUGGCUGCAAAACUUUCCUUAGCAGAGAAGACAAUUAUCAAUCCACUUCGUCAAAAAUAUGAAAUAAAAGUCCCCUACUUGACAAUUAGUUCUUUUUUUUUUUUCCCCAAGUGAUUAGUAAGUGUCCUCCUUUUUGUUUUCUUUCAUGUGUCCUAUUGAAGAAGCAAUAAUAUACCAACACCGACACCCCGUGAAUACAGAAGAGAGGUGAGGAGGGGAAGUUCAUUUUCUGGUAGAAGAAGAGCAGUAUUAGAGUUCGAAUACUGCCGGAAAUGAACUGGGCUCAACAGAGAUGGACUGGAUGUUCGUUAAGAUUACAGUCGGUGGCUAGGCUUGAAGCCCAACAUGAUUCUUCUUCCCUCCCAAUUUGCAGAAGCCCAGAGGGUCAUACGGAUACAGUAACAGUCUCAUAUGGACAGAAGGAAAGGGAAGUCAUUUUAUAUUUAUAUUUAAGAAAACCAGUUUCGAAUCCUUUAAACUUGCAAUUUUUUUUUUUUAAAAAAAGAAAAUUUUAUAGAAGGCGUAGUGAAGAGGUGAUUUUUGGUUGGUAACUAGACCGACCUGAAUCAGUCCUCUCUGAGAUGAAGUGAGGUGAACUCCUGUGUCCGAAGUGAACCUCCUUGUCCGAAGUGAGUGGCGGGGCUUCUCCCCUGGGAUCACUCCGACGAUCAAGUUAGUAAGGGAACGAGGGAAUGCUAAAGUAUAAGCAAAUGAACAGUGUAUGCUUACUUGUUGGGAGUGUGUCUGGGGUAUUUAUAGAGGGAGAGUAGAGGACAAAGCGGAGGGCUUAUGCUGGUGGGACCCACCCUCUGGUCAUUACGGCUCUGUCCCGUGUCAGGAGGUCUGACUCUGACACUGUAACUGCCUGGGCAUGAUGACGGGGAGUAUUGUGCAGGUGCCAUUAAGUGCCUCCAGUGCUUUUCAGAUAAAGCACUGGUCUUGGGUGAUGUCAGAUGGUUUGACAUCAUCAGCGUGCAGCUGAGGUGGGGGUGCCGAGGUCGGCUACACAGUAGGCUAGGGAAACGGCCGAGGCCGAGCUCAGGGAUGAUGCCCGGGACACGGAUGAGCUCUGAUGAGGGACGAGGUGAGUUCACCUCGGCCACUCGGGAUGGCCGAGGUGAGCAUCCUCGAUAAGCCCCUCAAGCCUCGGAUGCUCCGAGCAAGGGAGGUGCCGAGGCUUCCUAGUGCUGAAGUCAUGAAGAGUCGAGGUUCCGAAACUGCUCCGGAAGAUGCGGGGACUUGACACGUGGGCGAGUCAGUUGAUAGGACGUGGUCACUGGUAACCGUCGCAUCGUGAAGUAGUGGGACGUUUCGUGCAGUGGGUGUCAGCCGAAAGGACGGGGCAUUAAUGAAGAGAGAGAGACAGAAGGGCAGGUACUCAGUAUCUUGAAUUCGAAGAGUUGCCGCCUUUCCGUAUUCUGGCUGCCUCUUCGGGUUCCCCUUAGACUCCUAUAAAUAGGGGGUCUUUCUCACCGCAUGGCCCAUCAUUUUCUUCCUCUGCCUGGGACUUGCCAAAUUUACGUCUGUUGCCGAGAUAGAAAACACAAGGACAGGCUGCCAAGCCCCCGGCGGCUACACGCACUCCCACCAAGGUCGGCCAGAGCAGCUCGGCCACCGCGGCUACUGGGUCCACCUCGUCCGUGCCGGGGGGAGUGCCUCUCGGAGUCGUCACGGCACUCCCACCUCCUCAGGGCCGAGGCAAGCAGUUGAAGGCCCCGGUCAAUCCAGUCUCGGGGACCUCGCUAUGGAAUCGUUUCCAUAGCCCCCCAGUGUUUCCCGGGGAGGAGAAGACGCACUCCGGCAAUCAUUGGUGUCCGAACUGGAAGAUUUCGGUCAACGACAGGUGCCAAAAUCCUCGGGUCGCUCAAGAGCUAGUAAUGCACUCCACUCUGCCAAGGGAUUUGGAGUUCAUGAAGAAACUGAGCCCGGCCGAGCUGGUUCAAAGUCUGAUGGUGACCACGGCUUCCAACUCAGCUUUUGCGGCCGAGAUGGCUCACAGAUACUGUGCUCUAGUCGAGGAGCAGGACACCGGCAAGCUGCAGACUCAGAUCUCCAAGUUGGAGAAACAAUUGGCGGUGUCCGAAUCCGAGAAGUCGGAGCUUCAGAGGCAACUUCAAGAGGCUGAAGCUAAGGGUGAGAAGGCCGAGGCUACGAUGAAUAGUCUUAGAUCAGCCCUCGAGGAAGAGCAGAAGAGGGGGGACGAAGUGAAGAAGUCCCACGCACAAGCUCUCGAGGGUGCUGGAGCCUCGGCUGUGGACGCGUUUCGGAGGUCCGAUGCCUUCAUCAAGGACCUCGGCCAACUGCUUACGCCUAACUUCAUGUUUGGCUUCACAUCGGCCAUUGACGAGGCCGCAGCUCACCUCUCCUCCGAAGCCUUGGAGUCUUUGAAAAAUCAUGCCAGCUACAAUGAAGACUCCAAGGAGUUAUGUGAUCGGAUGGCCGAAGGCAUUCAGGCAGGAAGGAACUUGGCCGAAGUCCAGGUCGAGUUCAACAAGUGGCUGUCCGAACUCGACGACGUGUUCGAGGACGUGGAAGUAAAGGAAGCUGAGGGAGACGAAGCCGGGGGGGACGAAGUCGGAGGGGACAUCGGAAAAGAGCCUGGAGAUGAACAUCCCGGCGGAAAAGAGGCCGAAGAGGAGGCUGCCCAGGAGGGAGCCAAGACCGGGAAUGGAGCCGAGACGGGGGUCUAGGCUCAUAUGCUUCGAGGGGGUGGUCGAGGUGGAAAGUGCUUAGCAGCAUUCGGACCUCGGCCUUGUAUUUUUUUUGUAACGCUCUUUUCUGUUGAAUGAAAUCUAUUCCUUCUGUUCUCAGUAUUUCAAUUUCUUGUUUUGACUUCUUCCCUUGCUUGUCCCCCUUAUUUUUUAACUGCGUAAUAACCAUAUUGUUUUCAGGUCGUUAGCCGAGGUAGUAAAACGGGCAGAUACCACCUUGAUUUAUAAUGGGCCGAGGUGGCCCUGCGGGAGGUGCCGCUGAUUAAGGCCUAAGUGGCCCUGCGGGAGGUGCCGCUGAUUAAGGCCGAGGUGGCCCUUCGGGAGGUGCCACUGAGUAAGGUCGAGGUGGCCCUUCGGGAGGUGCCGCUGAGUAAGGCCUAAGUGGCCCUGCGGGAGGUGCCACUGAUUAAGGCCGAGAUGGCCCUUCGGGAGGUGCCACUGAGUAAGGCCGAGGUGGCCCUUCGGGAGGUGCCGCUGAGUAAGGCCUAAGUGGCCCUGCGGGAGGUGCCACUGAUUAAGGCCGAGGUGGCCCUUCGGGAGGUGCCGCUGAGUAAGGCCUAAGUGGCCCUGCGGGAGGUGCCACUGAUUAAGGCCGAGGUGCCCUGAGUAAGGCCGAGGUGGCCCUGCGGGAGGUGCCACUGAGUAAGGUCUAGGACUGUCCGGGCCAAAAUGACCAUCCUCCCUACCCGUGCCAAGACCUCGGCACUAAUGAGCCAUCUCGGUAACUCAGCUUACAAUACCCUUUAGGGUCAGAUUCCACAACUCGGUAAGGGCCUUCCCAUUUCGGGCAUAAUUUCCUCUGCGGCUCAGCUCGGCUGACUGAAUUUUUCCUCAGAACCAAGUCUCCAGGCUGGAAUUGAGCGGUGUCAGCUCAGCGUUCGAGGUGGACGAUCUUCCUUUCACUAUUCGAUCGAAAAUACUCCGGCGGUCCCGGAGUUGGGUUGAAGUGCCACUUGGGCCGGGUUCACCUCGGCCGGUGUCUCUCCUCCGGGGAUCUGGCCCCGUACGAGAUGCUUGGGCUUCUCGCUUCAUGCGGUUCACAUCCUCAUUUCGGAUUCCCUGGUCCACUCUAUCCCAGAGUUCCCGAAGUGUACGGGGGUACUCCCGAUGGAUUUCAGUGUUGAAGAUUCCCGCCACCAAUCCGUUGGUAAAGGCCGCGAUAGUUACCUGCUCGUUCUGGUCAGGUAUCUGCACAUUCUCCUCGUUGAACCUUUGAGUAUACGAGCGAAGGGACUCGCCCUGACCCUGUUGCAGGUUCAAGAGGUAAGCUGAAGUCUUGGUGAUUGGUCGAGAUGAUACAAAGCGGUGGAUGAACCGGUCUAUCAGCUCGUCCAGGGAGGAAAUGCUCCCUGGUUCCAGACUCCAGAACCACUUCCGGGCAGUCCCAUGUAGGAAGAUGGGGAAAGCUCGGCAGAUCACAGCGUCGGGGACGCAGUAGAGUCGGAAAGCGGAGAUGAAGGCGCGGAGGUGAUCCUCGGGGUCACCUCGGCCAUCGUAGGUGUGCAAGUUUGGGAGCUUGAAGUUCGGGGGAACCAUCUCCCCGUUGAUGUCAUCAGUAAAGGGCGGAGCCCUCAUGUACUCAGAAGCUAGGCCUCCGGGACGCCGAGGUGGGUCCUCGGCUCGUUUUCCCAGUAGUCCCCGAGAAAACGCUCGGGAGAUGGAGGCAAUCUUGGAGGUUGCCUUGGAUGAGGCUCGCCUGCUGGUGCUCCGAGAUAGACGCCCAUCUUCGGAGUCCUCGCUUGAGGGCACUUCAGGGGACUUCGUCGGUCUCCUCUUGGAAGACUCGGCUUUUUCUUUUCCCUGCCUCUUGAGGUACCUUCCUAGUUCCUCAAAGAUGUUGGGGUUGUCCGUGACAAACUCGGCCAUCUUGGCGAUGGCCUCCUUAUUGUUGGGCUGGGUCCUUUGGGACCCUGGUUCUUCAGAAAUGCGGUCUUGCUGGGCUUCCGAGGUCUGCCCAACCCCAGUUGAGGGAACUCUUCCGCUUCUAGAGCGCGUGGAUCUCAUUUUUGUAAUAGUCUCGUUCCCACAGACGGCGCCAAUUGAAGAGGUGAUUUUUGGUUGGUAACUAGACCGACCUGAAUCAGUCCUCUCUGAGAUGAAGUGAGGUGAACUCCUGUGUCCGAAGUGAACCUCCUUGUCCGAAGUGAGUGACGGGGCUUCUCCCCUGGGAUCACUCCGACGAUCAAGUUAGUAAGGGAACGAGGGAAUGCUAAAGUAUAAGCAAAUGAACAGUGUAUGCUUACUUGUUGGGAGUGUGUCUGGGGUAUUUAUAGAGGGAGAGUAGAGGACAAAGCGGAGGGCUUAUGCUGGUGGGACCCACCCUCUGGUCAUUACGGCUCUGUCCCGUGUCAGGAGGUCUGACUCUGACACUGUAACUGCCUGGGCAUGAUGACGGGGAGUAUUGUGCAGGUGCCAUUAAGUGCCUCCAGUGCUUUUCAGAUAAAGCACUGGUCCUGGGUGAUGUCAGAUGGUUUGACAUCAUCAGCGUGCAGCUGAGGUGGGGGUGCCGAGGUCGGCUACACAGUAGGCUAGGGAAACGGCCGAGGCCGAGCUCAGGGAUGAUGCCCGGGACACGGAUGAGCUCUGAUGAGGGACGAGGUGAGUUCACCUCGGCCACUCGGGAUGGCCGAGGUGAGCAUCCUCACGUAGUAACGCACUUCUUUCGUUCAUUUAGACCAAUCUUUCUUCUCCAGUCUUUAUAUGGUCCAAUUGAGCUCUUCCUACCUUUUAUAAAGUGCUAGAAUAGAAUUAAAAGGUAUGGUCGGUUUUUUUUUUAUAAUUUUGUGGGCAUACAAAUUCCCAAGCUCCGUCUACUGAGCAUAUAUUUAUUAUUAUUAUUUUUUUUAUCGAAACGACAAGUAAGCAUAUAAAAAUUUUAUAUGCGUCGUUUUCGUUGUUUUCUUCUGUUCUCUCAAAAAAAAAAAAAAAUACUAGUAGUAUAAUUUUAAGUCGUACAUCUGCGUGCGUCACGAGGCAAAAUACUACAAAGUUGGGCUGUUUUAGUUUUGCAGCAAUUGCACCGAUGUGGCCUCCAUCCUUGACUUCCUACCCCCAGCAGCCAACAUAACAUAGUCGGUCAAAAAUAGACCUGUUAACUGCAUCUGCCCUUUUUCUCAUGUCCAAAUAAAACAAAUCCCAUCCCAGGCAGGGAAAAACCCACCAACCAACUUGAUGCAUGCUUGCUUCAAACUAAUUCAUCAUCAAAAAAUUAAAAUCAUACUCAAAACUCGUUUCAUUUCAGAGCCACCAUCCCAUGCCCGCUUCUUCCCGGGGCCCCAACAAACAUCCCCCAAAGGAAAAAAUACACACACACACACACACACAAGAAAAUUAGAAAUAUACAACAGGGAGGGUCAAAGCAAGCAAAAACGAGGGGCUGACUGAGAACUGAAGCAGGGCAAAGCAGCCUUUCGGAGAUAUCAAGAGACUAAGCCCUCGACAUUUCCGAAGUUCUACUAACCCAUCUCCCCUUCCUUACUUUCCUUCUCUGUUAUUCUAUAAUCCUAAUUUUAGUAGUGGCCUUUCUCACUUCUUCAACUCUGUAAACCCCAUCUUUUUUCUUUAUCGUUUCUUCCACUUUCUUAAUACUUUGCUAGAUUUAUUCCAUUUAUUCAUAGUUAGAAAGAUACCUUCCUCUUCCUUCGAAAUAUUUCUGUGGUGAUAUAGAGUUGGAAAGAUGGCGACGCUGUCUUCAUCACCACAUUGUUCAUCAUCCCCUUAUUAUUCCAAUUCAUCGUCAAUUGUUUUUCAUCAUCAGAAAGUGGUGACUCUUUCUUCCAUUCGUCCCCAGAGCUUUGGUCCAGGAAGAUUUUCUUUACAAUCAAAGACAAAACCGAAUUCCAUUGUGGUCUGCAUGCAGGAUGGUCAGCUCCCUUUUCCCCUUUUCUAAAUUUGUACAUCCGUCUAUUCGGGUUUGUUUUCGCUCUUGCCUACGUAUUUUGUGUUAUUUUAGCCGACAUCUUUGCUAAUACGUUUAUUCAAUUGUUCGUUCAUCAAUGAAUUGAUCCACAAAAGCAAAACAAGUCUUUUUUCUUUUCCCCUUUUUCUUUUGAUUUUGAUGAUAUGCUAGCUACUAUAACAUUGGCUGAUAUAUUAGCAAAAGAUUGGAACUUUUUGUCAUUUGUUGUAGAUGUUCCGGUAUGAAAUUGCUUUUCUGGAUUUUGGGUUUCCUUUGUUCUGAUUUCUCGUGUGAAUGGUAAUCUAAUACAGGUGCCGCAGCAGCAACUAUUAGCCCCAUUGAAAAUGAAACUCCUCUAAAGAAGUUGACGGAUGGGUUGUUAAAUGUAGCCUCCCCGGAGGACCGCAAAGAGGCAGCUGCUUUUGAUAUCAAUAGAGAUAAAUCCACCGUCAGCGUCACCGUAGUUGGUGCCUCAGGAGACCUUGCCAAGAAGAAGAUAUUUCCUGCACUUUUUGCACUUUACUAUGAGGGUUGCCUCCCUGAGGUCUUCAUCUUAUUUAUCCUGUUUCCACUUAGUUUGACUUGCAAAAAUCGUGUUGGCCCAAUUUCCACAUGCUUUUAUUCCGCUGAAUAAGUAAAUAUUUAUUUCUUUUCAUUGCAGCAUUUCACUGUUUUUGGUUAUGCUCGGAGUAAGAUGACGGAUGCUGAACUUAGAACCAUGGUUAGCAAAACUCUUACUUGCAGGAUAGAUAAGAGGUGGUCUUUGCUUUGUUCUCCUUGGUUUUAUGUGCUUAAUGUUACCUGUCGAUGCUAUUGUUACUCCUGCCACAAAGCAUGUUGUUGCCAGGUGCCAUUUGUGGUAGUUUUGAACUUGUGCUUAUGCGGUUGACUAAAACUUUCUUGCAUAACUUUCUCCUUUGUAGAGAAAACUGUGGUGAAAAGAUGGAAGAGUUCCUAAACAGGUGUUUUUACCACUGUGGUCAGUAUGACUCCCAGGAACAUUUUGGAGAACUUGAUAAGAAACUCAAGGAACAGGAGGUAAUUAACGUUUGCAGACUUCAGCUGUUUAGCAUCUGUUAAUUUUUGCUUGCCUCAUGUUUGUACUAAAAAGCUAUUCUAAGGCAGGACCAAACUUUCUAGGUAUUGUGACAUAUUGAAGUCAGAGCCUUUUCUGAUUUUAUCAUGUGACGUGGAGUGUGUUUUUGUUAACUUGAUGCAGUCAUGCAUACAAUUUUACGAUUACGAGGUUCAUUUGAUUCGAAUAUGAGACAAUCUUAGAAUUACAGCAUCUCCACUUUUGCUUGUUUAUACGGUGAAUUGUUUUGUGCGCUUGUCAAUCGCCUGUGAUGGCAUCCUAAGAGUAAAAGUUUGAUGGAAGGUUCGUUCUUGGUGCAUAUAUUGGUAAGAAAAUUUGACAAGUAGAAUACUUUGGAGUUCUCUGUUGCAUUCUUAUUAAAAUUGGGAAUCCUAAUUUUAUGACUACAGUUGCCACUUAAGUUGUUUAGCUGAUAAGUAUAAUUAGCCAAGUAAUGAGCGUCCCUUUUUUAAACUUGUUAUGGAGAUUAGAGAUGAGAUUUAUUGCUUCUGAUUUUGGGCUGUCAAUAAAGUUCGGCUAGGUCAAAGUGAAAUAUGUGUUUCAUUUAAAGAGUGAUAUUCACCUGUUCGAUUGUGCUUUCAAAAUUGUUUUUGGUCACUUGAUUUUUCUAGUAGGAUCUCACCGAAUUCCAGCCUUGUGAUUCGCAUUGUUUUUGAAGCUUGAAUGUUUGAGAAUUGCUUGUGCAGUAUCAUAGCAUAUCCCUCUAUCUUCCUCACAUUUUUGAUGAUAACUAUUUUCUUGUAGGCUGGCAGAGUUUCUAAUCGACUUUUCUACUUGUCAAUUCCACCAAAUAUUUUUAUAGAUGCUGUAAAAUGUGCGAGCCUCUCUGCAUCUGCUGCAAAUGGCUGGACUAGGGUCAUUGUUGAGAAACCCUUUGGUCGUGAUUCUGAAUCUUCUGCUGCUUUGACAAAAGCUCUUAAGCAGUAUUUAGAGGAGGACCAGAUUUUUAGGUGCUUCUCUUUGUACUGGAUUUGGUUGUCAUCUUUAAAUGAACAGCCAGUGACAGUUUUUGAGUUGCUUAUCUGAACUUGAUUUUGUUCAAAUGCCUUACUUUUUGGUAAUUCCCCUUCAACAGGAUAGAUCACUAUCUAGGAAAAGAGCUUGUAGAGAAUCUUUCUGUCCUCCGCUUUUCCAACCUCAUCUUUGAACCCUUGUGGUCAAGACAGUACAUAAGGAAUGUACAGUUGAUCUUCUCUGAAGAUUUUGGGACUGAAGGACGUGGAGGGUAAAUCUCUUCCCAAUAGUUGAUUUAAUCACCCCACAUUAAGUUAAAGACUAAGUUUUCUUGAUGUGUUGUGGCACCAGUUACUUUGACAGUUAUGGAAUUAUCAGAGAUAUAAUGCAAAAUCAUUUGCUUCAAAUACUGGCCCUCUUUGCAAUGGAAACACCUGUCAGUUUGGAUGCAGAAGAUAUUAGAAAUGAGAAGGUAGUACUUUACCCAGGCUAUCCUAUUAUCUUUCUGGUUGCCUAUUUUUUCCUACCUGUUUGUUCUAAUUUCUUAUGCAAUGCCAGGUCAAAGUCUUGCGUUCCAUGAGGCCUUUAAAGCUUGAUGAUGUGGUCAUAGGACAGUACAAGAGUCACACAAAAGGAGUUGUUUCAUACCCAGCAUAUACUGAUGACAAGACUGUAUCCAAAGACAGCAGAACCCCAACAUUUGCUGCAGCUGCUCUUUUCAUAGAUAACUCAAGAUGGGAUGGGGUGCCUUUUCUGAUGAAAGCUGGGAAAGCUCUUCAUAAUCGGAGGUUGGUUUUAUCUACAGCUCACACUAAGACAAUAUUGGUUCUGUUCUCUAAAAUGCAUCUUUGGCUCCCACCCCCACCCCCCGUUUUUUGGGUUGCUUGUCAGGGCUGAGAUAAGAGUGCAGUUUAGGCAUGUGCCGGGUAACUUGUACAAUCGAACCUUUGGGACAGAUCUUGACCAGGCCACAAAUGAGCUUGUUAUUCGUGUUCAGCCAGAUGAAGCUAUCUAUCUGAAGAUUAAUAACAAGGUCCCUGGUUUGGGAAUGAGGCUGGACCGCAGUCAUCUUAAUCUUCUAUAUGCUGCAAGGUACUGUUGAUUAAUAUUUUGUUUAAGGUGCACUUAUUUUUAUACAGACUGAAGAUGAGGACUACUUUGCCAUGUGCUUGUCGCAUUAGUAUCUCCAUGUUGAAAAAAACAAAAGACGCUUUCACAUUUUGGGUCAAAUUUGAACUUUUUUCUGAAAAAUUUUGUUGCAAAAUAUCUGCAUGGAAGCUGAUUGUUGUUUACCACCCAAAUAAAAAGGAAACAUCAAUACCUAGUAGGAAUUAGCAUGAAUCGGAUGAAUAUAGUGGACAUCUAUGUUAUACAAUUAUUGGUAAACUUUAUGUGUUGUUGUGAUAUGGAGUCCUACAGACACUUAACUAACAUUGAUGAGAGAAGAAAAUGAAGACCUACAUGGGGAUUUUUUUUAUUUGAGAAGAUCAUUGAACCAAAGCAAAUCAAUUUAUUCUUGUCAGAACUUGUGCUUUAUCGAAUUGUUCCAUGGUUCUCGUGUGACUUUGAAAUGUGGGAUACUGGUAGCAUGGAACAAGGUUGAAUUCUGUCUGUUUAUAUGUGAUCUCAGAUGCCCGUAGGGACAUUAAUUACACCCGAACAAAAGAAAGUUAGGACUUGAGUUAUUUCUUUUUUUUUUCCCUUAAAUUUUUUCCAUCUCUUUUUAACAUCAAUUUUGCUAUUGCUUAGAUUUCCAGUAUUGUCAAGGAUUAAUGCUAUGCAGCACUCUAGUUCCUACCAUUUACCAACUGUAUCUAGAUAUAAGGUUGAUUCCUCUUGAGAAGCAUGUUGUAGACUUUUAUUUGAUACUAGUUGUUUAUGGGAUGGUUGUGUUCCUACUUCAGAAUAUGUCAGAUUCAGUUCUACCUUAGUCUGUUGGGCCUUGCAUUUCAAAGCACUGCCUUGCUUUGCUUUCACAUCCUGGUUAUAGUUGGGCUUUCAAAUUUUAUAUGUUUUCUGUCAUUAACAUCACGUGGAUGGGUACGUACGGAUACAAUAAUUUGACUUAUAAAAUGCGGGUCUCUAUGAUGAUUUGUAAAAAUUUCUGCAGGUAAGAUUUCUUUGAUUAAAUGCAACAGGUUUGAUGACUUUAUUUACCUAUCCUUCACCUGCUGAUGAGAUUUUAUUACAUGCAUAGCGAUAGACUAGUUAAAAGUUUAACUAGAAAAAGAACUAGUUUGGUUGUGAGUUCAGCGUUGCAAGGACAAAGGGGUAAUGAAUGAGAUGUCAGAUAAUGAAGCGACCAACAAUUUGUAGCUUGGCUAUCGCAAAAGCUGUACUCAUCUAGUGUAACUAGUAUACCCGGGUUGUGAAGAAUGUGAAUAAUUAGUGAUUGAUCAUACCAUUUUUCAGCUGAAAAUUUGUUCUUUCUGGCUUCUGUAGGUACUCGAAGGAGAUUCCUGAUGCAUACGAGAGACUUCUUCUGGAUGCUAUAGAAGGUGAAAGGCGGCUUUUCAUCCGAAGUGAUGAACUAGACGCUGCUUGGUCUCUAUUUACUCCUGUAUUAAAAGAAAUUGAGGAGAGGAAAAUCACUCCGGAAUACUAUCCCUAUGGAAGUCGAGGUCCUGUUGGAGCUCAUUACCUUGCAGCCAGAUACAAUGUACGUUGGGGUGAUCUUGGUCUUGAGCAAUAAAAGGAGAGCGUAUAUAUAUUAUAUUUCGAGUCAAGAAGCUACAUUUGCAGUGGUGGGAGAGGAGCCAGUUGCUGGCGAAGGAAUUCCACCAACAAUGGCUUGGAGCUGAUUCUUCUCCUCUCCGAAGCAGUCAGUCGAAAACUUGUUUUUAUCAGUUUUGUUUUUUUAAUUGAAUUGUAUGCCUGUCAAUUCAUCUACUAUAAAUUUUUUUUUUUUUUUGUAAGUUCAAGGGAGACUCUUUGAAGUCUUAGAUGAAGAAAAGACGCGGGCUUGAGCCCUGGUUGACUAGUUAAUAUCUCUCAACUUGGCGAAAUGGACUGUUCAGGCUGCGUCUUUUGCCCGAAUAACAUGGGCCUGUACCAGAGUGCGAAAUUCAAGUGGGGAGUGCAACAAUGAAUGGCUUUGGUCUGAUUUCAAAAAUGUUGGUUGUCGCAGAACCAGAAAUGAAAGAGAAUCAAUACCAUCUCUCAAUCUAAGAAAUCUUACGGAGCGUUGCAAGAAAGUAGGAAAAGUAAAAGUGAAAAAUCAGUUGAAUGGUUGGUCAUCAUAAAGGCGCUUAAGAUCUUUAUGAAAUGAGAGGUCAAGGCUUCAAAUUUUGUCUCUCCCACCAUCGAUCAUCAAUUGUUAUUUUAUGUGGCUUUUCUAAAUUCAGUCCGGGUAUGUCUGGUCUAGGGGGUUGGAUCGGAUCUGUGCUCUUUCCCGUGAUUUGAGUUAGAUUUGUUUCUCUCGUCUCACAUCGAAAGAUCGUGGGGUAGUUACUCUGGAUUUAAGGUCCACAGGUAUCCCGUUUAGUUAUCAAUUAGCUGAACAAGAUUGCUUUGUGGAUCCCUCUUAGAUUGUUCUUUGGACCGUUCUUGGGGCCAUAGAGAUUAUCAUGUUAGUAAAGAUGCCAUUUCCAAAAAAUGCGACUUUAACUCCCAAGUCACAGCAGCAGUAAGUAUGGCCACCAGUCAUGACCUCCAUAAGAGGGUUGAAUUGUUUUUGGGAUUUUUGUUACCUGGGUGGCUGCCGGGCAACUCAGCUUGAGAAAGAAGAUAAGCUUAUAUUGACGGGUCUAACAAAUGAUUAACAUAAAUAAAGGGAGAUGGGGGCGGGUUGCUCUGCUUUUACACAUUUUUUGGCUUGGCGUGGCGUGUUUUACCUACUAAUAAAAAGGAGAAGGGGGAGGAAGGUUUAUAGCUAGCUUGGUUGCGGUGUGUGGUAAAAAAAUGUAGUAUGAACGGGGGAGCGAAGACGGGUGAUGCGUCAACAACUGGCUUUUAAAAGCGUCCCCAUAUGUCUGCACGAUGCCUAACAAACUUUCACACACACACACACACACACACACACACACACACACACACACACACACAACCCAUCAUCCAUCAUCCAUCAGCCAUCAUCAUCAUCAUCAUCAUCAUGAUCAUGCACGACACGCCCCCCAACCAAUUAUUAUUAUUAGUAUCGAUUUCACUCUAUCUAACCAACUUAAUAGUAAUAAGUACAUUCUCCGGUCCUCAGUCCAUCAUCAAGGACUGUAGGACUAUUACAAGUUAGAAAUGUGAGAGUAAUAGUAGGAGGCGGUGGCAAUUUCAAAUUUCGGAAGCCAUUACCCGCAGGCCAACGUGAAUAGCGGAGGAAGCUGGGCAGAGUAAAGUCAAAUUCCGCACGACAAUGCAGAUUGGAGAGAGCCAACGGGGGUCUUGACUUUCCAUUAUGCUUCUGAACAAAACCUUGCACUAGUACACUACUGUUUUCAAAUGCACAAUAAUUACAUCACAUCACUGUACAAGUAAUUUUGUACACCAUCGGUAUUUAGCAUUUUUAGCUAACGGCAGUGAUUUGAAUAAAUAAAAAGAACCGUCAUUUUUUUUUUUACCCCCACCGUAUUCGAUUGGUGUCUUUUUCAUCCUUGUUUGGUUCAGUUAAGGAUAAUCUGAAAUGACUUUGCGGCCAAGACUUAUUAUGUCGAGUAAGGUCAAAGAAACAUAAACCCUUUGAUCACGCACACAUCUAAAAACGCAAAACUCAUCCCCUUUUUUCUAAUUUCUUUCAUUUCUCUAACAUUUUUUUUUUUUUUUGGGAGAGGGUACUUAGGCCAUGUCAAGCAAUAGGGAUGACAAUUGGAGCGACCAUCCAUGAAAAAUUAAUGAUUAAUUAUACUAAUACGUUCAUACUAAAUCACUAAUUAAACCUUUUUCCCUCUCGCGGGGCGGGAGCGAGGGGAAUGUUUGGACAACGAACCCCUUAUCCAUUGCCAUUCCUAUUAUGGCGGAAUUAGAGGGGGCGUGUUAGGGCUGCUGCUCAUUUCAAGAUAUGCUAUGAAAUCCUGUAAUUUACCUGUGAAAUAUUUAAGAUAUUCAUCCGUUGCGACAUUACAAUGAAUUAGAAUUUGCACGUUCGAAAUUUUGACUAAGUUGGUUUGUUUGGAUGGUGAAAUUAUUCCAAAUAAUAUUUCGCUUGCAUCAUAAACACAUUUUUCAAUCCACCUUUUUAUAUUUCUAACCAUCUUUUUAUCUCACAUACAUCACAUCACAAAAAGUGCUACAGUAUUUAUUCCAAAUAAUAUUUCAAAUAAUAUUCUAUCCAAACAAAGUAUCGAAAGAAAAACAGAUAGGGGCUUAGGUGAAUUCAAGUAAGAAAUUUUUUUUUUUUUUGUUUUGGGGGGGAGAGAGAGAGGAUGAUCUCCAUUGAUUUGUCUGAAAAUUGCAGGUCACGCUUCGCAGGAAUAGGGAAUUGAAACUUCGUCUCGGGCAAGUUUUCCUUGGAAUAUAAAAGCUUGCUUCGGCAGGAACAACCACCAAUGAUGCUUCUAAAAGAACACGAUAUGAGUAGUAAACCCUACCCUAUUAUAGUGCUUUUAACAGAAACAAGAAUGCUACUAGGCAGAGUGUUGAAUAUUGGUCACGCUUCCGGCAGAUAUUCCUACAAAAGAGUUAUCUGUAUAUGAUCACCCCCCGCUUUGACCUUCAUUAGAAAAUGCUUCCACCACUGAUUUCUUUAAUGGCAAGCUUCAUGUAAUCAAUUACUACUAUGUAGCACGGACAGGGAGAUAAUAUACAAAACUACAAAAAUUCUUUUUGAAAAAAACAGCUCUGUCAGUUGAUUGGCUGCGCCACUUGAUCACGAUUUGAAAGCCAGUUGAUGCUAGUACUCCUCCAUAAACUGGCAUAAAUUUAGGCCAUGACACAAGGGUCAAAUAUCAAAAGUAGUAUAGUAGUUAUCACUUUUCUAAGGCAUAGAAUCCCACAUGCCAUCCACUGGCCGUGGCAAUACUGCCAAAGUACGGACUUAUGAUUGAGCAUUGGGGAUGGUGGCCCGUAGUAAUUGGUCCUAUGAUUACCGCAAGGGCAAUGCACCCACCUUAGAUUGUUGGUGAGGUUGCCUUGCCAUUUCCGUGGAACACAAGGUUGCUACAGUACAGACAGGACAACAUGACUCUCUUAAUUUAAGUACCUAUACUGCUUACUAGUAUUUACUAACAGGCAAGAGUACUGCGUCGACUGUCUUCCAGUUUCCCCUAAUUACAUCGUUCAAGCUAGUGAUGCGAUCGUAAGUAACUAACCAACAAGCUUGGUAAGCAUGAGACUAGAACAAGAGGAAAUUAACCAAAAAAAAAUUUAAAGUCAAGUCUUUUCGCUUUUUAUACCUCACUGAAGACGACCAACGAACAAAAAAGAAUCUCUGGUAAUUUGUGCCCUGAUUAAAAAAUUUUGUAGCCGCGGUCAUGUUUUUUCCCGGAUAAUAGUAUGAGAGGAAAGGAAUGUUGGAGUAAAAACAGCUGUGACAUUCACAUGCACUUAAUUAAGUGAAAGUGCGAGGUAAUUUAUUAAAAGUGAAUUGGCAAUUUAUGGAUGUGUAUUAGUACAAGAUAGGAGCCAUCAAACAAAGCAGAUUGUGGUUACAGAAUAGAAUACAUGCAUCUAAUUCCUCACCUUUUUUAGUUCAGGAGAGAUAAGAGAGGAAGGGGAAAAGGAAAGGGUUUAAAAGUUAAACCAGAGGCCACACUGGGUAAAGAUUUGCCACCUUAUGCGUACAGUCAGUUGGGGGUGUUCAUAUUUUGGAAAAAAAAAAAAAAGGAAAAAUUGGCCGAUCCAAUCUAAAUCGGAUUUCAGUACAUCCGAAUUCGGAAAAACCAAAUAUAAUGUUUGGCAAAAUGGUUCGAGAAUGGAUAAUUAAAAAUACAUUAUCGAAUUACAAAUUAUUGAAAAUUUUAUAAUAUAAUUUUAUGUAUAUAUAUAUAUAUAUAUAUUACUAAAUAUAAGAGUAAAUCUUAAUUCUAAUACUAAUUACUAAUUUAAUUAUAACUAUAUUUGGAAGUCAAAUUUUGAUGGACGCUGACAUGUUUGAAUUAAACUUGACAAUUAAAUUUGGAAUUCCUUUUUAUUUCAAUGUUGUUUAAGAAUUGAGGUUAUGAGUUAGAACUUUCAGAUUAUGAACCUUUUUUUUUGCAUUUUUUUUGAGUUAAGUUGAUUGAAUUUUAUUGAAAAAACAUAUAGGAUAUUAUUUUGUUAUAAUAAUUUUUGAGAGAAAAUUAAAAUAUUUUAACUCACUAUUGACAUUUCAGAUUUUGGAUAUUACCAAAUUAUUGAUUCUUAAAUCCAAUUUACCAAACCAAAAAAUAUAUUGAGGGUGGUUAAUUGCUCCCCCUCUCCCCAACUUUUCAAAAAUAUUUUUUUUAAAAAAAAGAAGACUGAAAACUAUUAAAACUAUUAAUAAUAAAUCAUCAAGUCUAUUUGAACGAAGAUAUUUUCAAAAAAUAUUCUAGCACGAUAGUAUAAUAUUUUUUUGUGAUGUAAUAAAUCAUCAAUUUUUUUUGUGAUGUGAUAUAUAUAUAUAUAUAUAUGUGACGGUGUAUAUUAUCGGUGUCCGACGUUAAACAUCUAAAUCCCAUUCACCUGUCAGCGCUGCAGCUACUGUACAUAUGUGUGCUGGCCGUUAGGGAUCUGCCCAGACUAUUUUCCAAGAGAAUUUGAAAAAAAAAAAAAAAAAACCACAGCCCUUGCCCUUGCCAUUUGAAAAAAUAGCAGUACAUUUUAAUUAUGCAAGGGUUAGUUGUCCACUGCCACUGAAGAGUUUAGAAUGAUAAAUAAAAGGUAGUAGUUGGUCGAGCAAUGAUUGCGUGUUUGUAGGAACCGCUUAAAAGUUAGUAAAAGCCUUCUCACUUCUUUGCUUCUUAGGAAUUUGACAAAUUAAGGUCCUUUGGAUUGCAUUUUCCGUCAUUUUUCAUGGAAAAAUUACUAUAGCGAUUUGAUGUAUGUGAGGAAAAAAGGUAAUAGGGAAAUGUGUUCAUGAAAAAUGAUGAAAUUUUUCUACGAAAAACAGCAAUCCAAGCAAGACCUAAAUGUGCCUGAGACGCGGCAUGUGUAGAUGAGGGGCUGGAACUGCAAUUUGUACACUGUGCAUACUACUAUUAGCUACUGGCGAAGAAGAUACCUUAGUGAGAGUUAAUUUCUACGCAGGAAAAUGACAAUAAUGCUAAGAGGCAGAGUGACGAAGCCAAAAGAGUUGUUACAUCACAUCAGAUAAAGAGUAAAGGCCAAUGUUGAUAAUGUCCACGACGUAAGCAUGAGAAAAUAUCGUACUCCCACUAAGCAUCAAUCAAACAAAAUAAUAGUUAAUAAUAAUAAAUUAUUAAUUCUACAAAAGAUUUUACUAUCAAAUUUUGUACGACAAUUAGGUGAAAGAGGAAAAAAGAGAAAAAAGGGUACCUCGAUCUCAAUGCGCAGCAGCGCUAGCUCUUAAAUCCCUGCAACCGCAAGGGGUCGUAGAUGAAUUCUUGAAGAUAAGCAAAAAUGCUGUAGAAUUCCGCUAAACUUGUGUACAACUAGUAGGAGUAUGUACUUGUAAUUUACGUCAAUGUCAUGCCACAAAAAAAUAUUUUACCGCAUGCCCAGGAAAGUUAAUAAGUAUCCCUUGAACACGUCGAACCCCCGCUGGUUAAUUAAUUUCAAGAUUCACCACUACUUGCUUGUAGUUAAGAUUAAAAGGAAAAAGGGUGUGGUUGGUUGGUUGGUUUUUGGAAGUGCAUGAAAUGAUGAGCAGCUGCUGCUGCUGCUGGCGGAUAGUGCAGUAGUAGUGCCAACGCAAGCUCAGAUGUGGGAGGGAGGUGGGAAUGGGGAAUUAUGGAACACAGACAACAAAGAUCAAAGUAAAGCACCAUCUUUUCUUUAUUACCUUUUUCUAUCCAAACAUAUUAUCAAAUUAUUAUUGCUGAUUAAUAGCAGAGUAUUAGUGAUUAUAGCAGCGGUAACUACUAAUUCCGGUGCAGUAGCAGACUAGCAGCAGGAGUAGAAGUAAAAACUGUGGGGGUGUUCAAAAUUUGAACAAGAAGCAAAGGAUAUUGACACUUACAGUGAAAGGUCAUGAAAGCCUAGGACUUUUCAUGUCCCCUUCAUCAAUCAAUAGGCCCCAUUUCUUAUUAUUAUUUUUUUCUCCCUACUCUCGCGGAAUCCAGGGAGCUCCAAAAGUAGUAGCCAGAGCCACAAAGAAAGAGAGAGAAGGGGGAAAGGGGAGGUGCGGGGCGGGGGGUGCCCACCUUCUUAAGUCGUUUCCCACCAUCGGACAUGGCUGAAAACAAGCCAACAGACAUCAACAAGGAUUUCCGAAUUUUGGCCUCCUCCGAUAACAAAGACGAUGGCGGCAAGAAGCAGUUAGUCCCCAAAAGAAGUUCCAACAAGGACAGGCAUACAAAAGUGGACGGCAGAGGCAGGAGAAUUCGGAUGCCAGCUCUUUGUGCUGCCAGAAUUUUCCAAUUGACGCGAGAGUUGGGCCAUAAAACUGACGGCGAGACUAUCCAGUGGUUGUUACAGCAGGCCGAGCCCUCAAUUAUCGCCGCCACCGGUACAGGGACCAUCCCAGCUUCAGCUCUUGCAACUGCAGCUUCAGGGUCGUCUGUUUCUGAACAGGGGAACUCUGUUGCCACCGGUCUGCAUCAUCCCAAGUUUGAUGAAGUUGGGCCAGGGAUGGGGAUUAGGAUGAAUUGGGCUGCGCUGGGUGGAAAUAUCGGUAGAUCCCCUCACGUCCCUGCUGCUGCCUGGCCUUCUGUUGCAGCUGGUUUUGGGUCUGGUUUUCUGCAUAAUUCUACCCUCCUGAGCUCAAAUUCUGUGAACCAGAAUUUGAACUCCGGGCCUAAGUUCGGGUUUCAAGGCCUAGAGUUUCCGAGUUCGGCAGGUUUUGGUCAGCAACUCCCAGGUUUGGAGCUUGGACUUUCUCAAGACGGUCAUAUGGGAUCCCUGAACUUCCAAGCCUUACAACAAUUCUACCAGCAGAUAGGGCAAAGCGGAGACGGAGCCGGUUCCGGUUCGGCAAAUAAUCAGCAACAGCAUCAUCCUCCUCCUGCUGCUGGGGGUGAUGACUCCCAAGGAUCGAGACAGUAGUAGCAGCCGCUAUCUAGAACAUCGGGAUGCUUUGUCGAGAUUCAGUUUAACUAUGAGUAGCAUUAGAAGGAGAGCUGAGUGAUCUCUGAUGGUUUUCCCCCUCUUUUUUUUUAUAGUGCAAAAUGAGAUUGUUUGAAGGUUAGUGACGUCAUGGAAUCCAUUCUCGCCGGAAUGGAUGUCGUCGCCCUGCCUGAUUGAACGUGGCUGCAAGGGCCUGCUCUUUAUUCUGCUGCACAGCUCAUCCCAGUAUCCUCAUAUAGGUAAAUUGUUGCAUUAGGCUGAUUGGGGCUUCCCUUUAUGUGAAAAUUCAUUGCUGUGGGCUUGUGUUGUUAAUCAAAAUUUCAUCUUUGCCUGUGCAGGCUGGACUAAAGAGAGCCGAAGAUGCCAUAAAAGGUUGCUUGUGAUUUUUGUUAUAUCAGUUUGAGGUGUGUUUUAAUUUACAGACAAUUAACUACGCAGGCAUAUAUAGUGGUUUGAUGUUGUUGCAACUAAAUGAAAUGAGCGGCAAUUUGCCUUCUUUACCUGUAAUCUUUUGAGAGUUUCUUUAUCACACUCAUACAUUGGUUAGGAUCAGCAAAGGAACUAGGUAAUGCUAUGUUGCAAGAUGUUUCUUUGAAUUGUCAAAGGUAUCAGAACUGGUAAUUUACAAGAGGUACAAAGCUUUUUCUUUUUGCCUGCAGUGAUGGUCAAAUUAGCUGAAGGGAGAGCCAAAUGCGAACUUUCCUACUAUUAUUCAGCAAAUUUCAUUACAUCCGUAGUUCAUUUUCUUCUGCCUUCCAAUGUGAUAACUCUUUGGUAGCUUUUGGGUGAAGUAUAAUGUUUGGUACCAAACAUCGACCGUAACAUGUUGGUUAGGGUGUCCUGUGCUCCUAGCAAACGGAGUACCGUUUCUGUUUGAUCAACGAUAAACUUGGAUACGAGUAAUAGGGGGCUGGCUCUCCACAAAAUUUAGCAAAUUUUUAACGUGUCCUGAUGCGCAUUGAGAAGGAAUAAAAUUAGUUGUCUAGUACUAGUAAACUUUUAGUUAUCUACCUAAGAUUUGAUGAUAUAGAAUGCAGAGGCUGCUUCAGAAGAAGAAUCAGCUAUGGAAACAAGACUAAAAAGCUGGUGCAGAGGUUUGUUUUGAGCUCAGCAAACGCCACCCCAGGCCCUGGAAAAUUCCUGCGAGUGGCAAAACUACCUACCUACCUAAAUUGAGCUCAAAGGCAAUUAAUAUAUAUAUAUAUAUAUUACCUAAACCUGCAUCCAGUAGUCUUUCCUUUUCAAUAUGGUAACUACUCAAUUUUUGGCCCAAAUUAAGGAAUGCCCUGUUCAGUUAUAGAAAAAUGUAUCAUUGAAGGAGAAUGAAUGAGAACGCUGCAACGCUGUGGACUAAUUUUGAGAAAUUUGUGCUUGGCUUCUGCAAAAGUGCCUUGCCUUUUACUUAGCUUAUAUUUCUGUAAAUACGAGGAACAGGAAGGAAGUAAUAGGUGCUACAGGAAGCUGUACGAUAAAAAGGAUUGGCCCAUCCCACGGAUUAUUUAGGAUUUUGUGCAAGUGGGAAUUCCAACUGGUUGGAUGUCUUUGUAGAAAACUCCUUGGCCCUUCACUAGUUUGUAGACUCGUAAAACCCUCGAGUAAUGGCAUGAUAAGAGUCAUUUUGUACCUGCUGCUAUAUAGCCUGGAGGCUGCCCUUUCGUCCAACCUCGUUUGUGUCGGUGAAGAAAAGCAAAGACUUCAACGAAUCCAGGAGGGAGCAUGCAUACUUUAUGAAAAAGUUGAUGCUCAAUUUGUGAACAUGUUGGUAUUGUAGUCUACCCUGUCAUCAUUUGGUUUUUCUUCUUUUAGGCUGGGGUUUUUUUUUUUUUGCAUCGCGCGACUAGGGAUUUACGCGAGCCGAGCUACUCGCGAGUAGCUCGGUCAACGGUUUGGCUCGAACUCGGUUUGACAUUUGGUUUUUCUUCUUUUAGGCUGGGGUUUUUUUUUUUUUGCAUCGCGCGACUAGGGAUUUACGCGAGCCGAGCUACUCGCGAGUAGCUCGGUCAACGGUUUGGCUCGAACUCAGUCAAACCGAGUUCGAGCCGAGUUUCGAGUAGUUCGAUUGGCGUUCGAGUCGAGUUUCGAGUCUCAAAGUUUUGGCUCGAGACUUGUCGAGUAGCUUGUCGAGCCGAGCUAUUUAAAUAAUAUAUUUAUAAUUUAAAUAAUAUAUAUGUAUUAUAAUUAUAAAAUGACUAUUAUGGGUAUAGGUUAUACGGAAUUUACAAUAUACUCUUCUUUAUAAUAAAAUUUUAUAAGGAUAAAAAAGUAAUAACAUAAUUAUAAAAAUACCUAAAAAGAAAAAAUGUCUAAAAAAUGCCUCAGUUUUUUGGUCGAGUCGAGUCAAAAAACUUGAUUAGACUCGGCUUGAUAAGGAUUGACCAAGGGUCGAGCCUUAUCGAGUCGAGUUUCGAGUUUAGAGUGAGUACAUCGAGUCAAGUUUCGAGUAUCAAUUUUUUUGACUCGAUCGAGCUCGAGCCUAGGGAUAUAUGAGUCGAGUCGAGUUCGAGCCUAGGGAUAUAUGAGUUGAGUCGAGGCUACUACUCGAGCUUAACUCGGCUCGAUUACAUCCCUACACGCGACACAGCUGAUAACAGUAGUAGAUAUAAAAAAUCGCCAUUAUGCGAUGAUAAAAGGAGUGGGUCACCAAGCUAUUACUACUAUUAGAUGCAAGAAGUACUUCAUUCACGCAGACAAAGGCCUCCUUUGAGGGCCAAAAAAGGAAAAUCAUUUUCAAAACAAAGACUCAGGUAUUUCUAUCAGCACCAAUAGUUCUAAUAACGGCCAACAAGUUCUUAUCAAUAAAAAAAAAGGACACAAUAUUUACAUUCGUAUAUCUACAAAAAGACUCAUGAAAUUAUAUAUAUAGGUUUGUUUGGACAGCAAAUUAUUUGGCCAAAUAUAUUUGCUUACAUCAUCAUUACAAUUUUCAAUACACUUUUUUAUUUUCCCAAUUACCUUUUUAUCUCACAUACAUCACAUCACAAAAAGUGCUACAGUAAAAAUAUCUGAAAUAAUUUACAAUCCAAACAAAAUGAUGUGAGAUAAAAAGUACUCCCUCCGUCCCACUUUGAUAGUCCUGUAUUCCUUUUUCAUCUGUCCCAAAUUGUAGUCCACUUUCCAAUUGAAGAAUGUAGUUGUAUUUUAAUUUUUCUAAAAUACCCUUAUUCAAUGUAAGUAGUUGUUACUAUAAACCUACCCCAUUUAACGAGAGUUGAUUCUUUUUUUUACCAUCAAUUCAAGUUCCCAUAAAGUUGUACCAUAUUUAAUGUGAGGGUAUUUUAGGAAAAUAGCAAUCUAAAUUUACUUUUCCAACAAAGUUAAUUACUUUUUCUUAAACUGUGUGAAAAAAGAAACAGGACUAUCAAAGUGGGACGGAGGGAACAGUUGAAAAUAUAAUUUAGCAAUCCAAACACCGUACAGCUCCAAACACACGCUAAAUAGCACGAGACUGGACUCCUGAAACCGGAAUAGUACCAUGGAACAAAUUGCCUGCAGCAACCCGUGCAGAGCAGCCCAAGUAAAGUAAUGAUGCAGGGGGAGUGUCCGAGAACGGCACAUGCUGCAUGUGGUGCGGACGACCUCAUAAAACCCAAAAGUUCAUUAAAAGGGACGUGUCUCAGGCUUAAGUGCACUGCAAAUUCUUAGUGGUGUCGUCGAACCGUUCAAUUUCGGGCCCGGAGGCUUCACGACUCUAGCUUUAUGCCUUUAUCAUGGCCAAAAUUUGGCUUUAGGGCUUUAGGGUUCCUUUUUUUUUUUUUUUUUGCCUCAAUGCUGUGCUCUAAAAACACAUGAUAAUUAGUGCAUCAAAUAAAAAGGGUGGGUGCACCACUAAAUCUACAAAACUAUUAUUAUGUACUCUCUAAAUUGCAUGAAAAGAUUUACCCCCUUAUGGAGAAGUGACAAUAAUAAUUUAACAAUUUUGCUUCUUUUUUUUUUUGGUACUUUCUGUUAUUCAUUAUAUAUUUUAAUCUUGUUCUUAAAAUGCAGUAGUAUUAACUUUGAAACGAUACCUUUUUCUGUUCUAGACCUUUGACGGCUUUCUAUAUACGAAUUUGGAAAGAUAUUCAACCAAGAUAAGAAAUUCAAUCCAGCAUUUAACGAAAUAUGGUCGAAAGUUGUUGAUUAUCCAAUCAUCAAAUAAGUGGAAUUAGAAAAAGACUAUUCACGCACAACACCCAUCCUCAGAUGGGUCCAAAUAUUCUAAACCUCUCAGGUGCCUUUAGAGAUGGAGUUGAAGCUAAUCAGCAGGUGGGCAAAUGCGAUGGAAAACUACUACUAGUACUUGAUUUAAUUAAUACGUACUAGUGCUAUUUCUUUUAUUUUAGUAUUACUCUUCAAACUUCUUUCCACGCCAUCUCAUAUCCCUCCAAAAUUGGAGGCUUCUGCAGAUUCUACAAAGUAAUGAGCCGAAAACAGUAGUCAUGUAGGCCACGACUCACGAGGGCCAAUAUCCAUAUGAUUUUAAAGCCUUAAAGAAUGUAGUGUAGGGAGCGUGGACAACCUCAUUGCGAUGUUUAUCAAUGAGUAAUUUCUGGACCCCACAUAGAUAUUCCAAAUCUGGAUGAAAAGCGCCGGGGUACCGUACAAUCAAUCAAUAUAAUUAUGCUGAAUCAUACUGAGGGUUAGUCACAAAAACUCCCUAUAAGAUUUAAUUAGUUUUGUACUUUACCCCCGAUGUUUCGUUAUUCAACUAACAUUGCAUAUAAAUAUCAAAAAGAUACUGAUACCCCUAAGGGUUAAUCACAGUAAAUCCCCUUAAUUUUGCACUCCAAAUCAAUAAUAUGUUUCUCUCUUUUAGUAUAACUAACAAAAAAUAUAUAUACUUCCAUAUCAAAAAAAAAAAAAAAAACCUAGCUACUAAAAGAAACAUUUAGCCACAUGCACAUUCUCAAAGAGAUAUUGACAAUAUCCCAACCAAUUUUAUACUUUGGAAAUAUUUUCAUAUUUUAAUCUUUAAUAACAAUUUUUGUUUUUUUUUCCAUUAUUAAUUCAAAUUAGCAAGAUAUUCUCCUUAGUCUAAACAAAAAGUGCAAUUAUGGAAUGAAAUUUAACUAGGACCAUAUAUAUAAAAAUAAGGAGGGACCAGGUGGUUCAUCAAACCCCUGCCUAGCGUUACACAUUCUCCACCACCAAUAUGACAACCAGGAUAAAUCAUCAACGUGACAGAGAGGAAACAAAAUCUCAGCCACGUCAAUAGUGGUGUAAACGGUGUAAUGCCAGGUUGAGGUUACGUCGCGUUGUAGGUCCUGAGCGAUGGUGACAGUUCAGAAACCUUCUCCCUCCAUAAACAUAACAUCACCUUCUUUUUGUCAUUAUCUUAAAUAAUAGGUUUAUUCCUUCAAAAAAAUUAUAGGUUUAUUUUUUAAAAAGAAUAAUUAGUUUAUUAAUUUAUUAGCAUGUUCAUAUUUAAUGUACAUUUUUAUUAACAAAUAAAUUAUUUUAUUGAUCAGCCAUUUUAGGAUUAAUAAAUAAUACAAUCUAUAUUUUUAUUACAACUAAUUUUAUAUGAAUUCAAAUUUAAAAUUUAAAACUUUUCCACUUCAAAUGAGUGUUUUAUAAAUCUUUUAUUUUUUGUUUACAAACUUUAACCCUGUUUUUCUUCCAUAAUUAAAGAAAAUAAAUUUGAAAAUUUUGAUUAGACCCAUAUUAAAAGCAUUAACCCAGUUACAACUUUAUCACUUUGGCCCAUUUUACUCUUUGAUUAAUAAAGAUUGAUUUGUCAAAUUUAAGGAUUAUUCCCAUUUUUUUAUCAUUUACAUAGUAACAUUUUUAGCACUUUCUUUCUGGGUAUAUACAUAGAUUUGUUAACACAUUCAAAUGAUAUAUCCAAUUAUAACCAUUCUUUAACCAUUUUACCUAUUGCAACUAAAUCAAUUUUUUUAGCAUUAAAAUCAUCCUAUUAAACAAUUAUUUUGACCAAUGAAGUAAACAUUCUGACAAACAAAAUGUUAUCUAAAUAAUUUUUGACAUAUGUAAAUCUUCAUCUGGAUAAUUUUUCAUAUAACACGUAUAUCAAAAAGUGCAAAUAAAAUUUUUUUAUAUGAAUUUUAAAUUAAUAAAAAGGGCAUUUAGAUUUUUUUGAGUUUUUAUCAAAAAUUUUAAAACAAGUAUUUUUUAAACAAUGAUCUUGGGUGGUUAUCACAAAAAAUAGUAGUAUUUCACCAAAAUUAUACCCAAUUAUUUUUCCUUAACAACUAUAAUUCUAACUUUUUUGUUUGAAAAAAAACACACUUAAAAAGUGAGGCAACGAAUCCUAAAUAGUAAAAGGAGUAUAAAUAUAAGAGUAUAGGGUUGGAGAGGGUAAAGUCAAGGGAUCUGUAGUCGUAGGUUGGGAUGAAACUCUGAAAAUAGGGUGAUUUGUGUGGGUUAAAUGGGUAUAGUUUUACAUGAUUUUGAUUAUUUUAACCAUUUAUGAUUCACUACAAAUUUUAUUUAUUUUUUCUCCCAUAUUCUGUAAGCAACAAAAUACGAUAUCAUUGUAAUCAGUAAAAAUAAAAACAUAUUAUAUUAAUAAAUAUAUUUUUAACUAAAAAAAUUACACAGAAUGACCAAUAGUGGUGAGUUUCAAAUUUCACACUUUAUAAGAAUCUCAAAAUAAUUUAGAUGUGAAUACAAGAAAUCAAUUAACACUCAAUGAGUUAAUUAAAACUUUGAUGGAAGGGAGGGAGGAAGUAGGAUGAAAUUUAACAAAAAUUUAAAAAAUGAAAAUUAAAGAAUAGAGAAAGAACGUUAAAUGUGCUUUUGCAAAAGGUAGAAUAUAAUUAUGGAUUAAUUUUUCCUACACUGACCAUGUCAGCGUUGGAUGAAUGACAAAUAUGCAAAUUUUGAAUUUAAAAUUUAACUCUUGCACAUAUAUCAUAGAUUCAACGAUGAUAGUGUAUACACUGUCAGGGUGUAUAAGAUUUACUUUAUAAUUAUUGUAUUAGUAGUAAUGUAAAUUUACUCACUAAUGAAUUCAAAUCUACGUCUAAUUUAAUUAGUUCUAAAUAGGUAGUACCAAUCUAUCCAUUUAAUAUCCACUAAUUAAUAAAUUUAAUUGGGUUACUUAUUUGAAAUUGGGUUUAAUUGGGUUAUCCAUUCAUUUAUCAUUAAUCCAAAAGCGAAGGCCAAAGGAAUAAGAAAAAGGGUAUGGAGCUGAAGACAAAAGGCGCGUGAGCUUCUAUUUCUGGUUUGCAUUUAGCAGGAUGAGCAGACAAAUACUAGUACCACCAAAAAAAAAAAAAAAAAGGUCAGAACAGGAGAAUUUUUCUUGUACCGUCAUUAAUCAAACUUCACAGCGCACAUCUUGCAAGUCAACGGGGAGAGAGAGAGUGAGAGAGAGAGGCAAUGAGGAAUCCAUCCGCUUCCUGCUUUGGAGGAAUUCUCCGGAAUCAUAAUCAAUAAUGCUCCUAUUCGUCAAAUGAAGUAGAAUUAAAUACUGCACCCCUUCAAUGUGUUAAAGAGCAAAAUCUAGCAUGGCCAUUGCUCUCGUUAGGAAAUCUUGGUAGAUUUUUGGAACCUAAAAAGCCAGUCUCCAACAUUUAUUGCUCGUAUUGUAGCACCAAAUAUAGUAGUAAUUAGAAAACCACCCAAUGACACUGACUCCCAACAAAAAAAAAAAAAAGUUUCUUAAUCUGGGAAUGAAAAUGACAUGCCUAUUACCCAUUUUACUACAGAUUCUUUAAAGGGUAAAAGAUCCUAAAACCACAUAGAGGGAUAGCCGCCUACCCAUACAAGAUCCUCUCUCUUUCUCCUUCUCCAUUAAUUCAUAUUCCCACUCUAACCUAAUAUUAAGAGAGGGCCAAGAGGCCAGAGCUACAGGAUAGCAGCCUACUCAUACAAGAUCCUCUCUCUCUCUCCCAUCUCUGUUCAUUUCUAUUCCUAUUCUAACUUAUAUCAGGAGAGCUCAACUGAACCAAAAGAGACGCAUGUUAUAGUUUUUUUUUUUGGUCAAAUAGUGUUAUAGUUAUUUAGUUAGGCCCAAUUGUACAGAGUUUCGAACCCUUAACUAUAAUUAGGUUAUUACUUUAUACUUCAUUUGGUGGCCAACUCAUCGAUCGAGAGUUGAUUAGUUUUUGAGAUUCCAAUUGGAAGGAUAAUAAUUUGGUUAAGCUUAGAAACUUGCCUUAUGAGUAGAGAUGUAUAACGCAAAACAAAUUCAGUAACACUUGUUACCAGUAACAACUGAUUUAGCUAAAUAGGAGGAGAUUUUACUUUUAGAGUUUACAUUGUUUAGACUAGAGUUACAAACGAAUCAAUCCGUUCGCGAGCCGCUUGAAUCAAAACUUGACUUGAAGUCAGUUAACAUCGAAUUCAAGCUGACUAAAUCGAACUCGCAUUUAAAAAUACUUAACUCGUUAGUUCGUAAGUCGACUCGAUUAUAUAUACAUACAUAUUUAUUAAUUUUUUAUAAAAAUAGUAAAAUUAUAUAUAUAUAUUUCAGCACCGGGGAUUGGGGGGAGUGGGGAAGAGAGGAGUAUGGGAUCCCACACAAGCAGCCAGAGACAAGGGCGUCUGGCCAUAAGUGUUUUCUUUUCAUGGAUUUUAAUUUGUUUGAUUAAUUGAAGGACCGAGUCCGUGAUGAGUCGCGAGCAAAGCUGAACUCAGGAGGUGUAAAUUUCUCUUCCUCCAGAUAAGAAAGAAAUUACCACUACCACUACUACUACCCUGGGUACAGCUCUAGAGCCGCCGCCGCUAGGGUAAGUAGUUAGUUAGUAGUCCUUUACUUGCUAGUUCAUACUUCAUACUAGUCAGCCAGCAGUAGUAGCUGUGCCCAACACAGCACAACACAUCCACCUUUGCUUCAUUUGCCCCUACCACUAGCAUGCUUUUUAUACCUGCCAACUCCUUCCUUACCACUAACUCCGGAGUCCAGACCUCUUCUCUCCAUUUCUACACAAUUUGACUGCACCCAUCCACCAACGUUGUUGUUAUUUCCAGAUAGCUACUGCAAACUUUAAUUGAGAGACCGGAGGAUUGAGUUGACAGUAAAACAUUUAGUACAAACAAUCUUUUCGUCUCCCUAAAACUCUUGCAGAAUUGCAGCUUUUUCUUUCCCUUUUUUCCCCCUUAAUUUAGAUUGAGUUGUUGUUGAUAUGGAUUACUGGACUUCAUCUGUCAGCGUCGAUGAUGAAUUUGAGAAGCUUGCUCUUCGAAUUAACCCGCCAAUGUACUUUUCUCUUCUUCCGUCUAUCUUCAUUUCCUACAUAUAUUUAUUGGAUUUCCUUUUUCUUUUGGUUUUUGGGUUGAUAUAUUGAAAUGGGCUUUUUUCAUUCAUUGUCGAGGUUUCUACUUUUUAAGCUUUUGUCCCCCUCCCCAUAACAUACAGCUUACUGCUGAAGAAAAGAUAAAAAGGUUGUGAUUUUUUUUCCCGUUCAUUUUAGGUAAAUGAGUGUGAUUUCCUAUAUAUUGCUGUGUAUUUUCAAUCUUUCCUUGAUGUUUGAUGUAUAGGGUUACAGUUGACAAUGAAUCGGACAAGAAAGCAACUUUGAUCAAGGUACUGCACAAUUUUGUUUAUUCUGUUAGGUGGAGUGUCUUGAUUUGACUUGAUUGAGGAAGAUUUUUGUGUAACGUGUGAUGUAUCCGACUGGAAGGGGAACAGUAGUCAUUCUUGUUUUACAUAAAUUACGGUUGAUUCCAUCCAAAUUUGAUAUUUCUUCUAUGGAAUCUGUAGGUUGAUAGCGCCAAUAGGAGAGGAAGCUUAUUGGAGGUGGUUCAGGUUCUUACUGAUUUGAACCUGAUAAUCAAACGAGCUUACAUCUCUUCAGAUGGGGAAUGGUUUAUGGAUGGUAACCUACAAUUCUUCAAGUUUGUGUAUCAUUCCCCAUCUACUUGAAAAAAAUAAAAACUUUACACUCAGACUUAGCUUCUUUUCUUUCCGAUGAUAUUUGUUGCAGUAUUCCAUGUUACUGAUCAAGAUGGGAAUAAGCUAUCUGAGGAUAAGGUGGCGGAACGCAUUCAGCAGGUGGGUUUGCCAAUUAUUCAUAGUUUCAUGUAAAAGUUACAUUAUUUUUCGUUUAAUUAAUGACUGAGUAAUGUUUCAAAUGCAUUAACCUUGGAAGUUUAGGAUUUUGGUCCCUUCUUAAUGGUUGCUUUCUCAACCAUAUACUUUUCUCUUUGCCGCAUCAUCCAACCUAGACAGAGCUGUCAUGGUCUUCCUUUCAUCAAUGUCUCAGAAGAGAUGGAUCUUGCAGCCAUCAAUUGUUUUUUAGAAGUCUUGCACUUGGUUUAAAACCACUAUGGAUAUACUCGACACUCUGUAAAUUAGUUCCUGUAGGUGUGGUCAGUGUUAGUAUCUUAUCAUGAUGCUUGAAAAUUGUGUGGCAGUCCUUAGGACCAAGGGGCCGAAGCUUUCGAUCUUUCAGAAGAUCUGUUGGUGUCCAGCCUGCCCUGGAGCACGCUACUAUCGAGUUGACAGGAAGAGACAGGCCUGGAUUGCUCUCAGAGGUAUUUGCUGUUCUUGCUGACCUCAAAUGUAAUGUAGUUGCUGCAGAAGUAUGGACUCAUAAUUCAAGAAUGGCAUCAGUAGUUUACAUCACUGAUGAAGUGAACGGAGUUGCAAUAGAUGAUCCUGAACGACUGUCUAAGAUAAAGCAGCUUCUCUUGCAUGUUUUAAAAGGAAAUAAAGAUAGGCGAAGUGCUAAUACUGCUGUUUCUGUUGGUUCCACCCAUAAAGAACGGAGACUGCACCAAAUGAUGUAUGCUGAUCGUGAUUAUGAUAAUGAUGUCAUGGAUUGUGCACCUACAAGCGACCGUACCAAGCCACUCGUAACUGUAGAAAAAUGUGCGGAUAAAGGCUACACUGUUGUGAACUUGAGUUGUCCAGACAGGCCUAAGCUUCUUUUUGAUACAGUGUGCACAUUAACGGAUAUGCAGUAUGUUGUGUAUCAUGGUACCAUCAUCGCUGAAGGACCAGAGGCUCAUCAGGUAUACUCAUACAACCUUUAGUUCAGUAGAAAGCUUUUCGUUUUCCAAGUCCCAGAACAGUAGUUAUGCAUUAGGACUGAGGCAGCAGAUAAGUCCAUCCAAGGUUUUUGGCCAUUUAAAGCCAGAUUAUGAACGAUUUAAAGUAUUGACAAACAUCCUGGCUUUAGGAGACAAGUGAUCUUGGAAUUUUAAUUUGAUCUAUACUCUAUUCCUGUUUGUAUAGGAAUAUUAUAUCAGACAUAUUGAUGGAUGGCCCAUUAGUUCUGAAGCAGAGCGACAACGUUUAAUUCAUUGCUUGGAGGCAGCUAUAAAGAGGCGAACUUCUGAGGUACUAAGUCCAAAUGGGAUCACUUGAAAUAAAGCUUACCUCUUUCUCCCUGACAAUGACUUGCAUCCAAGUCCUUUGAUGUUUUUUGUCAUGCAGGGAAUAAGGCUAGAAUUGUGUAGUGAAGAUAGGGUUGGCCUACUGUCAGACGUAACGCGCAUAUUCAGAGAGAAUGGCCUUUCAGUUACUCGGGCAGAGGUCACCACCAGGGGCUCUCAAGCUGUCAAUGUGUUCUAUGUAACGGAUGCAUCAGGUUAUCCUGUAAAAAACGAGACCAUUGAGGCAGUUCGGAAAGAAAUAGGUUUAACCAUACUCCGUGUCAAGGAUGAAACGUACUCAACUUCACCACCCCAGCAGGGAGGAAAGUUUUCUUUGGGUAAUUUAUUUCGAUCAAGAUCAGAAAGGUUCCUCUACAACUUGGGUCUAAUAAAAUCAUGCUCCUGAGCAUUUGAAUAGGGGAGUUAAGUUGGAAAUCCGAUGCCAGGAAAAUGCACGUGUGAAUGGGAUAGAAUGGGAUUAGUGGUAGGUUAAAAAGGCAUGGCAAAGCCUUUAACCAACUUCGUGUUGAUCCUUGAUUAAGGCCUCAACCAAUCAACUGUGUAUUCUGCUUAAGCCUUGUAAAGUUUCCGGAUAACCUGUAAAUUCCAUUCCCCCAGCUCUUUUCUUUGUUGUUGUUUUUUGGUGUUGGUGGGCAAUGUAAAUCGAUAAAUGGUUGUUAGAAUGUUGGUAUUGUUUUUAGGUGCAGCAACUCAGUAGUCAUUGGAUAAUAGCACGGGAAGUGGUGAGGCAAUGGGAGAUGGACAAAACAAGCAGCAAGUACAUAUACAAGUACAUAUAUUCAUUGGUUUCGAAACAUACCUGAUGCCUAACCCAAGAGCGACUACGGAGUUUUAAGGAAGACCCACUCAUGAAUCCCUUUCUGAGACGCCUGUCAAACGACUUUCAACGAACAUUAGCCGCCAUUUCUGUUUCUAUUGUGUACUACUGUACCUCCCUCCCACCAUGUGUGAGUGUGAGUGUGAGAGCGUGUACGAGAAACGAGAGUAUAUCAUUUUUUUUUUGUCGCAACAGUAGAAUUCCUAUAACCUAAUUUAGUCUAAUCUAGUCUAAUCUAAGGGGAGGGAAGAAAUGAGAGCAUAUCGUAAGAGGUGCAGUAUGUGUAGAAAAUUUCAUUGAAAAGUUUGCACGGCACACAAAUGAAAUAGUGCAGUGUGUGAAAAGUUUGCACGGCAUAAUACACUCUGAAUUUUCACUGAAUAAUUGUGCACUGUGUGUGAGUGUGAGAGAAUGUAUGCGAACACUUUUUGUGAUGCGAUGUAUAUAAAAUUGAAAAGUGAUUGAAAAUUGUGUUUACGAUACAAACACUAAUAAUAUAUAUUUACAAAUUCUUUUCCUCAAAUUAAACUAUCCAAACAAAUAUGUCUAUCGCUGAAAUAUGCCUUUUGAAGCUUCUAGAUCGCAUGGACAACACUUGCAGUGAGAUGACCAGGGCAAAAAAUGCUUUUCGUCACCAAUCCCAUUUUCAGCUCCUGAAAUAUACCUGAUUUUUGCUAACCUUCUCAACAAUCAAGAGAGAGAUGGGUUCAGGGCACCUUCCUCAACAGUCAGAGAUACGUUAAGGAACGUAGCUGCUCCAACCAUUCAUCAUGUAUCAACACGGUUCUCCUCAAUAGAAAUGAAGGAUCAGCUUCCUGCACUACUGCAUUUUAUCACUUAAUUCAUUCCCAUACAGUUAGGUUUCGACCAAGCACUCAAAUUACCCCAAUUUACACAACCAAUACAAAACCACCAUCCAUCCAAAACUGGAUUCAUAAUCUCCCAGAGCAACAAAAUAAACACUGCCAUUUCACUGAAAGAUUAUAGUAGGUCGGUAACGCAAUGUAUUCUCACGAUGGACUAAGCUAAAGUAACAUUUUAGUUGUCCCAGAAAUACCAGUUUUUGGACCAUAAUCCUGUAUCAUUAGCAGCUCUGACAGUACAGUACAAAAGCCUAAACACUCGGAUUAAGCCUCACUAGGGAAACAGCCCACUACAUCAAAAAGGCAGGCCCAAAAAAAUUAAGGGGCAAACAAAACCCUGAACAUGAACACGCAGAGGGAAUCCCAUAUUAGGCCACUGGCAGCUCGCCACAGUCACUGACAACCACCCUCAAUCUAGGACGAUCACCUCUGUCAGUUUCCUGCGACUCGAUCAACCUGACAAUAUCCAUCCCCUCCAAAACUUGCCCGAACACAACAUGCCGCUGGUCCAGCCAUGGUGUCUGUAAAUUGCCAAACAUAAACAUGAGAAUUCUUGUUUAAGAAAACAAUUGUGAUAAAACAAUCGAGGCACCCCAUAAAAAUCCUAAAUCAGCUAAUUUCAAAUGAAGAAACAUGAAGGCUUCCAAUUUCCAAAGUAUCGUUAUUUUUUGUAUUUUGCUCUUGUAGGAUUGCCAAUAACCAAAAAUUAUCAGAUACAAGAUACAUUUUUGACAUAUUAAGCCCAUUCUGAAGGAGGGAAUCUCAAUUUAGCUUACAAAAAAGCAAAUGCUGAAACACGAUUCGAAUAGAAGGAAAUUGUAAAAAAUUAAAGACUGAUGGGAGAGAAGAACUACAGAAGCUUGGAUGACUGAUUGACAGGCAGUUGCUCUAUUGGAGGAAUUCCAUGAAACACUCAUGGUAUCUUGUUGUUUAAACAUGUUAACAUCCGUAAAAAAUGUCACUAUCCAGUUUCAGCUUAAAAGUGGAACAAUCACUAUUAUAAGUUUUUUCUCCACCAAGCCCUUCUACAUACCUUGACAGUGCAAAUGAAAAACUGACUCCCGUUGGUAUUGGGUCCAGCAUUUGCCAUGCUAACCACUCCAGGUCCAGUAUGAGAUACUGCAAAUAUUUUAAGUCAUAAAGAGAUUCUCAUUAUUGGUAUACUGUAAUACCAUCUUCAGAGAAGGAAAGAGAACAUAGUCAGAUGUAAAAUACCAACUUACACUUGAAAUUUUCAUCUUUAAAUGUGCGGCCAUAGAUACUUUUACCGCCAGUUCCCUGCAAUCAAAAGAAAAUUUAACAAAAAUGACACUUUUAGAUAUAUAUACAUGCAACUUGGACAUUUUCACAAGAAAAGCAAGAGCACUCUGAUAAUUAAGCUGGCCGACAAAUCACCUGGUCAUAUUAGGACAUUAAGAGUUAGCAAACAUAUGAAUGAGUCUGCAAUUAACUUUGCAAACAUUUACAAAAGGCAGCUCUAAGGAAAUCAAAACAAAAGAGAAGUCAAAAAUGGUGAUGAUUGACUGGUUUCAUAAGACAAUCCAGAUUUUUACCAGGAAAAUGCCUGAACAUGGGUUUGGGACAGGUGGAGUUGAGCGAUGCUCUUAAAAAACUCUACAACAGUUCCAGUGAGGACAUGUGAUAAACAUUUGAGACUAAAAAAAUCAUUUACAUCUAAGGACCACUAGAUGCUUGCUCCACUAAUGCCUAAAAGCAUCUAAUUUCCUUAUCUUGUUUUCCAAAAAUAGAAUCACAUUCUGUGGAAAUAAACUUGAGCAUAAACCAAUUAUAAGUGCUCUACUUGCCCAGUAAGAUCUUACCAGCUUCAUCAUCUGAAAACUCAAUUCAUUGGCACCUUUUCAUGCAGCCUUAUAGCUUGAAGGUCAAAUUAAUAAAAAUUGAGCUUCCUAAGUGACAGAGGAAUCAGAGUUAUAAGAUGGGCAUAAUUCAUGCUUCACCAAUGUAAUCGCGAACCUCGUAUACAAGCAUGAGCACUCUAUCGUACUCUGAGAAUGUAGUAAUACAUUACUCUGCUGUGAAAAGUGAGAGGUUUCACAUCAAUGAUAGUUCUUUAGAUUGUGGCAGACAACGUGACUGUUCAGUUGGGUCACACUUGAAACAAGAAGUAGGUUGCCGACAGCUAGGGAUUGUGAUGGUCAACCAUAAAAUCAGAAAUUCCAGAAGUACAAGUUUAUAAAUGAGCUUGUUUAUAUCUGUUGGUGGUAGUCAUUAUAGGCAUCAAUCAGGUAUGAUUUCAGUUGUAUGGAUGAAUGAAAAGUGAGUCAGUAGAUCAAAGGAAAAGAAGCACAAACAAGUAAGGAGAGUUUUACGAAUAUGAUUUGGGAACAUUAAUCACUUGACUUACAUUGCCUUUGUCAAAGUCUCCUCCUUGAAUCAUGAAAUCCUUGAUAACACGGUGGAAGCUGGAACCCUUGUAUCCAAAACCCUUCUCUCCUGAUGAAGUAAGGAUUAGGUAGGCUACUCAGGCGAAAAGCAUCAGAUAGGGAGAUGGUAUAAAACUGAAGUGGCGGCGGAUAAUGUAAGGGAGGAAAAACCUGUGCACAAAGCACGGAAGUUUUCGGCAGUUUGGGGGACAUCAUCCCCAUACAAUCCGAUGACAAUCCUGCCAGCAAGCUUCCCUACUGGAUUUCCAAUGCUGAUGUCUAGAUAUACCUUGUGCGUUACUUUGGAUUGUAACGAAGCCUCCUAAGUCAGAUAGUAAUGACAUAAAUGAGAAACUCAAGCAUGAAAAAAUAAAAGAAAUUAGUAAAGUAGGCAAUAGUUGCAGUGCCAGAGAAGCGAUGGAAGUUGGGAGGGCACCAAUUAUGUUGGGAAAUGCAGAUAUAUCACAAAGCAGGUCUAAAAUUCUACUUAAUUCCAAUUGCAAUAAAAGUUUUGCAACCAAUUUCCACUUCAGUCUAAAGGGCAGGGCUUGCAUUUAGGAGGGUUUUCUGGAUUGUCCCCGACUGAACCCAGAAUUAAAUCCCAGAAGAAGAUGGAGAUGGUUAGAGAUAAGUAGUGAGAGGAAUUAAUAAGUGACCUCGGACAUGGCUCGGACAGAAAGAAGAAAAGCGCCGCGUUUGCUGAGAAGCAAAGGGUUUGAUGAGUUGGAGGAAGACGUGAGGCGGCUGGAACCGGACAGGAAGGUGGAAUGACUUGCAGUAGAUACAGUGGCUGGGAUGGGCUUGGGAAGACAACAUGAUGGGAUUGAAAUUCUUGAAAUCUUCAGAGGACACAGAGUCCUGAUUGGAGCUGAAACCGGGCCAACAUUUGACUGCACCACAACAACAAGCAUAAAUAUUCAAACCCAAGAAAGAGAACAAACAAAAACAAAAAGCAGAGAAAUCAGAUGAAAGAGGGAGAGAAAUGCUUACUAGGGUCGCGAAUGGGACGGCCAUUUCAGAUGUGGGACGUUAUAGUUUCUACUGUCUGUGUGUGUGAAAAGUGUGGUUUUGUGGUGGGAAGGGGGGGGGGGGGGGCGGGGGGAGGCGACUAAAGAGAGAAAUCAAUCAAGUAGAAAAGUGUAACAGUAAGAUGGCUGAACUGAACUCAAGAGAGGAAAGGAAGAAUAAAGAAGACAGCGGAAGCGGAUGAUGAUUAAUGGAUGACGGAGAGGUCGAGCUUUGUUGAAAUCCCCGUUGUGCUCACUCACUCCUCCGCCUUUUCACCCGAUCGACAAAAUCCCUAAACCCACCCUAUAUAUAUAUAUAUAUAUAUCAAUAAAAAUUGCACGAUACACAGUACUCUUUUUUGUUUUUUGGUGGCUAUAGCUUAUUCGACAUUCUUCGGAUGCAAAAAUUAUAUAUCUUUUAUGAAACUGAAUAAUAAAAAAAAAUGCGAUGACCAAAAUCUUUUUUUAGAUUUAGUGGAAGGAUUAUGCAGAGGCCCCGUCCUGGGCCCGUACACGUGGCAGCCCAGGGCGAUCCGAGUUGGGCUUGGACCCCGGGCCCAUGGGAAACCAGCCUAGGUCACGCGGCGGCUAGGGCUCCGUGAGGCUCCCGAGAGCUACCCCGCAGAGGGCGGGGAGAAUCCCCCUCAGCGCGGGAUUGGGAGCUAUCCAAGGCAAGUCCCGAAGCGUGCGGAGGUCGGACUCCUAAGAAGGUAUAAGUAGUAACGCGCAAUGACUGCGCAAGGUACGCUCACUAUUCGGCUAAUCCACUCUGACUAAGUUAAUCCCCGGGAACCCUACUCACCGGAAAACUAACUUGACCGUCGGAGUGCCCUCGGGGACCACCUCAGGGCCCCCUCGUAAGUCCACUCCUUUCUGUUUUGCAGGCUUGGAACCAGCUCUUCCAUCGGCACCCCGAGCUCAUCAGGUCAGCUCGGUCAGGGGAAGUUCCGUGCUUCUUCAGUUGGCGCCGUCUGUGGGAACCGAAAGGUAAUUGUUAGUGUUGAUGGCAAGAACACGAUCCAAGCGAACCGUCGAAAGCACCGGUCCCGGGGCCGGAGAGGGAUCCCGCCGAGCGGAGAACGACGCGGUUGGGGGCGCUGGGGGCUCCGCCCUCUCAGGGGAGCGAAGACAGCAGAUCCUCCAGUUCGUAACGGAGAACCUCCCGAUGCUGGAGGACCUAGUCCGGCAAGCGAAGGAGAAAGAGGGGGCUGGGGGCGCGCAGACUUCCAAGGCUAAGGGGAAGGAGAAGGAGUUUCCCCCUGACCCUUCGGAGGAUGAGUCACGGGAUCAGCCCCCCAGGAGGAAGCGGCCGCGGACUCCACCUCGCCCGCGUCCCUCGGUGGUCGGGGACAGUGAAAGGCACUCUCGUGACAGGUCCGCGGGGAGCCGGUUGAGGGACCCAUCCCCGAGGAAGCCUGUGCGGAAGGGGCUUGACCGCUCCCCCACCCGGUCUGUCAAGAGCCGGCCGAGGGACCCUCCCCAAUGGCAGCCCGUCCGGGACGAGCUCGAGCAGAUCCUGCGACUGCAACCGUACGAGGACGACUAUGCGGUUUCGCCCUUCACUCGAGAGGUCGAGGACUACCCGUUACCUCGGAGGUUCAAGAUUCCGAACAUCGAGCUGUACGAUGGCUCGGCUGACCCGGAAGACCACCUCUCGGUCUUCCUGACGCACAUGCGUCUACAAACCGCCGCGGACGCCCUCCGUUGCAAGACCUUCCCCAUGUUCCUUAAGGGUAAGGCACGGCUCUGGUUCCAGGGCCUGGCAUCGGGGUCUAUCAGGUGUUUCACCGAGCUGGCCAGACAGUUCGCCGCCCAGUUCGUCUCCUCGAAGACUUAUUCGAAAAACGCGGCCCACCUGAUGGCCAUCAGGUAGAGGCCGAGUCGUUGAGGAAUUUCAUGACCCGUUUCAACACGGAGAGCUUACAGAUCAGGGACAAGGACGAAAAGGUGGUCAUGGCCGCCUUCAUGAACGGGCUCAGGGUAGAGGAGCUCUUCUACAAGUUGGCCGAGAAGCUUCCCGGAGACAUGGAGGAGCUCUUGACCCGGGCGCACGCAGCUGCCAACGCAGAGGAGGCAACGCUCGACCCAGGAGGUCGGCAUGGCUGCCUUUAAAGUUCAAUACUCGGCCCAAGAGGUCGGCAGGACUAUCUCUAAAAUCCUGAAGCUCGACCCAGGAGGUCGGCGUGGCUGCCAUUAAAGUUUAAUGCUCGACCCAAGAGGUCGGCAGGGCUAACUUUAAAGCCUUGACGCUCGACCCAGGAGGUCGACGAUGCUCGACCCCAAGAGGCCGACACGAGAAGUUCUAUUAUGCUCGGCCCCAAGAGGUCGGCACGAUUUAAAGCUUCGAAACCUGGGAGUUCGACAAGGCUCGACCCAGGAGGUUGGCGCAGUUUGAAGCUUUAGAGUCUGAGUUUGCGGAAAUCCGGGAAUUCGACGCUCGACCCAAGAGGUCGGCAUGAAUACCUUGGAAGUCUAACGCUCGGCCUAGGAGGUCGGCGCGGCCUAUCCUUAAGAAUUUGACGCUCGACCCAAGAGGUCGGCAGGGCUAACUUUAAAGCCUUGACGCUCAACCCAGGAGGUCGGCAUGGCUGCCUUUAAAGUUUAAUGCUCGGCCCAAGAGGUCGGCAGGGCUAUCUUUAAAGCCUUGACGCUCGACCCAGGAGGUCGGCGUGACUGCCUUCAAAGUAUGAUACUCGGCCACAAGAGGUCGGCACGGCUUGAAAUUUUGAAGUCGGAAAGUGCGAUGUUCGGCCCCAAGAGGUCGGCACGUUGUGCCUUAACUUGAAUGAGUUUGUUUGACCCAGGAGGUCGGCAAGGCUCAAAUCUUUAAAAGUUGGGGGCUUAAACCAUGUCAGUGGCAAUUUGAUGCUCGGUCCUAUGAGGUCGGCACGCAUUGAUCAAGUUUGUCGAAACUUGGGAGUUUGGUGCUCUACCCGGGAGGUCGGCAUAUGGCCUUGAUUGUUAGAGUUUGGCGCAGGCGAGAAUUGCAAAUAGAGGUUAGAUAAUUUCAUUCGAAUUACGUCUAUACAACCUAUCUAUCACAAAGCCUACCGAGCUGAAAAGAGGAGGCACCAGUGGCUUGAAAGGUGGAGAACUUGCUUGAGCCUGGGCAGUGCGACACUGGGCUCCCACGUGGCAAGGGUAUAGAUCAGGUUUGCCUGGGAGCCUGACCUAAUCUAGGGGGCUAGUGCAGAGGCCCCGUCCUGGGCCCGUACACGUGGCAGCCCAGGAUGAUCCGAGUUGGGCUUGGACCCCGGGCCCAUGGGAAACCAGCCUAGGUCACACGGCGGCUAGGGCUCCGUGGGGCUCCCGAGAGCUACCCCGCAGAGGGCGGGGAGAAUCCCCCUCAGCGCGGGAUUGGGAGCUAUCCAAGGCAAGUCCCGAAGCGUGCGGAGGUCGGACUCCUAAGAAGGUAUAAGUAGUAACGCACAAUGACUGCACAAGGUACGCUCACUAUUCGGCUAAUCCACUCUGACUAAGUUAAUCCCCGGGAACCCUACUCACCGGAAAACUAACUUGACCGUCGGAGUGCCCUCGGGGACCACCUCAGGGCCCCCUCGUAAGUCCACUCCUUUCUGUUUUGCAGGCUUGGAACCAGCUCUUCCAUCGGCACCCCGAGCUCAUCAGGUCAGCUCGGUCAGGGGAAGUUCCGUGCUUCUUCAGAUUACAUGGUAGUAUCCAAUCAAUUCAUUCUCUCAUUUUGUUUUUUAAUUUUUGGCCACAAAUCGGCGCGAUGCGAUGUGAGGACUCUGAUGUUCUAAAUUUGUGGAAAAAAAGAUGUGCCAUUUCGACGCGCUGCAUCAUCAUAUCCUUAGGUGAGAGACAUGCUCAAGAGCAGCAAAACAAGGGCGGACGCAUUCUUCCUGAUCUAUAACCUUUUUUUUUUUUUUAUCUUUAGCAGCAGUAAAUUCGUUAAUUUCUCUGAUUUCACCUUUUUAGCUGCUGAGUAUUGAAUUCGAUAUAUUUUCAUCUUUUUGCUGAUUAGCAGCAGUAUUGAAUUUAACGGAGGCAUAUAGGUCAGAAUCCAUUGGCACGAACGACAGUCAGCCUAGUAAACGCUUUCAAUGACAGAAAUCUUGUACAAAAGCUUGCCAAUGAAAGGCAUCGCGUCUUUUAUUAUAUGAAAGUUUACAGAUUGAACUUUUUUCAAUACGCUUCCAAAGCCUCUAUAGAAUUAUUACAUAGAAUAAUGACAAAGCACAGAGAUUUUGUGAUUAGUAUGUCCUGUAUCAUCAGUUUGAGAUCGCUUCACAGUUCAUCACAAUCUGUUCAGCUCGGAAACCUCGUGAUCUAUCCUUGAGACAAGACUCUACACAACCUUACACGAGCAUGUAGCUACUCAUUUGAAUUCCAGGAUGACCUCAAUCGUCUAACGAAACCACUGAGAUUUGAAUACGCGCUGAAUCGUAUUCCCCAUGAUUGAUUCCAUUUCUGAAGAUGACAAGGGCACUUGUUGGGCAAGCCGAAAGGCAGCUUCUUUUGCUUCUUUGUAGCCACACUCAGCGACAACGUAAGGAAAGUCACUGCAGCAAGGCCCAAGAUUGAACUUCUCGAGUUAGCUCCACAAUGAAAUGGGUACUUCUGGUACAUUCAAAUCGACGAACAUUGUCCUUGCAUUUUCCUUUAGGUUCAGAAUUUGAAUUAUAAGACAUUUUACCUUCCCCACAUGACUCGGUUUGCACCGAAGCUGGAAACUACUUGGGAUAGAACUUGGCAUAAAUCAUCAUACGGAUAUGGAUUUCUCGACACUCGAAACAAGGCGCUAAAUUUUACGUAAACCUGUCAGGCAGAAGUUACUCGAGAGGUUAAUGAAUGCGUAAUAUUGAAGGUUUUGGUAAUGUAAGAAACCAAAAAAAUUAAAAUUAAAAUUAAGACAGGGCAAGGGCACAUGGGAUAUCACGUAUGCAUUAGACGAUCCACGAUUCAAAUGGCAAAGCUGAUUUGCAGUCUUCUUCGGAAGGGAGGGAAGACUAAGACACGGCCCCGGCCACUUAAGAUCAAGAAGAUCAACUGUCAAUAGCAAAUACCAGAUGAGAUGUAGCAUAUACUUACUUGCGGAAAUCGGGACAACUUUAGCAGUUCAGAGAAGAGUUUGCUUUCCUCGUCAUUUCUGAAAGAUGAGACGCAUCUAAACAAGUAAUCUGAUCCUUCAUCCGUAUCACUAAACAGCUCUACUACUAUGCUUUGACAGACACGGUCAACUUACAUUGGUGGUUUACAGAAGGCCAGAUGAUCGAGCAAAACAGUUGUUUUAGGAAAUUCCAUGCACAGUUCCUUAAUUUCUGAUAUAUGCAAAUUCAGACCCUGCAAAGAUCAUCUCGUUAAAGUUUUGGGACACUAACUGUUGACUACAAGUAAUUUUACCUUUAAAAUAUACAAGUGACAGCAAUGAAUUGACACAGACCUUCAUGCACAUAAAACCCACUGGAACUCCAAGUUCUCCUGCUUUUGAGAAAAUAGCCUUCCCAAUGUCAUUUGUCAUCUGCAAAGAUCACUAAUGUGCUUUACAUCUUCUUUCCUCAGUUUCAUUUAUUUUAGUCAGGUGUGAAUAUGAUAGGAUUUAGUUUUUCAUCCAUGAGUAAUCACAAAGAAGACUUCAUCACUUCCCCCCUCCUGCAUCUUGAUAUUAAACAACUUGUUAAUGGCAGAAUUGAGAUCAAACACCACCUCUACACCAUUAUGCUUAGACUUUGUGACGUGGGAAGUUGAUACUGUGAAAUUUUCAUAGUUAAGCUAAGUACAGUACAUGAAUAUACAGCUCAGCCUAGACGUGUAGUAGUUUGCUUAUAGAGUUAGUCCUUGGUUUUGAGCUGAUUAGCAAAUUUAAAUUCCUUGUUCUCGCCUUCCAAAAGGUAAUUUCCAAUAAAGGGUUCAAGAUACCAUCAAAAACAAGAUAUAUUGUAUGACUCCAUGAAAGCAAUAAUCAUGUGGGUGUAUUCACAAAGAAGGUACCUGUUGACCAGAAGGCCACAAAUACGGAUUAAAACGUACUGCGCGGUAACCAUCCUAUCACAAGUGAAAGCGGUCUGUCAAAAAAAAAAAAAUCCUUUUCCUACAAUAUCGGUAAAAUACAGUUCCAUAUUCCUCAGCACCUUCAAGAUAAGAUUCUCAAACUCUUCAAUUCCUUUUCCAUCUUCAGUUGGAUUUGCAAGGCAGCAACCGACAAACUUGGAUGGAUACUUCUUCAGCACACUGUUCAAUGAUCAACUUGGCAUAAGGCAACUUCUGAAACUACAAUUGACAACAUAGAGGAAGAAUGAAGACAUUAAACUACUUCAAUGACUCGAAAACCAUAGAAGUCUAAUUGCCAAGAUGUGCAACUUAAAAAUGAAGGCAACUUUAGCUGGGCCGCAUUUGAAAGCAAUAAGGACAAAGAAAAGCAAUAAAUAAAUUAUUUGGAAAAUUGUCCUCAAGAAUGACAAUUAUUUGAAAAAUUGUUCUUGGAGAUCCUCAAUGUACGAUUUUCCACCACUUGUCUCACAUAAAUUACAUCAUAUCACAAAGAGCUGUUACAAUAAAUAUCAAUAUAUUUUUUUGGGAAAUAACCUCCGUCCAAAUGGACUCCAUAUAAUGCUCUUCUUUUUAUAUUGAUGUUGUUGUUAUGCUUAUUAAUCGUCGUAACAUUGUCCUUCAGUUUUUUUCCAGGUCUUGAUAUUUUACUAUUUGACAUCAAAACUUGCUUAAAAAGAUUCACAGCCAACCUUCAAAGUUUAGUCAUGUACCCCACCGUAACUGCCAAUUUUGGAUAAUCUACUUUAAAACUAGUACAUCAUUUGCAUACGCUUUCAACAAUUAGUCAGAAACCACAGGCUUGCGCCAUUGGUGUACAGAGGAAAUUUGCAAUUGAUCAGAGGGACUGAAAUUCUUGACACAACAAUCGUUUGAAUACAUGAACUUGAGUAUGAUCACCUGACCUUGUCACGUAAGAAUGAUCAAAUUUGUGAUUUAUGGGCUGCACUAUUAGUGCACCAUCUACCCCUGCUUCUUUCAUGCACUGCAGAAUAUACAGGAAGCAAGUGAACUUUAGUUACACGAGCAUCUGGGCAGAAGGGGUGAAUGAGACAUGGAUGGUUGAGGAAAGGGGGAAAACUUUUGUUUAUAUGGUGGCUAGGAAGUCUCUACUAGCCUACUGAGACGAAGCCAAGGUGACGGGCAUCAAUAGUAGGAGUAAAGCAUACUCAAAACUUAGAUUGAUGUGAAAAGGAUCGAUGCCUAAAAAAAUGGAGGGACAUGGUGUUCACUACUAGCAGCACAUUGAUGGAUGAGCGAAGUUGAAAAAAGCAGGGUUCUGCAAAAUAAAGGGUGGAAAUUUCGCAAUCACCAUAGGUUAAGUUGCAAGAGUGACACCGGUACGAGAAUUACCCGGAGCAAAUAGUCAGCAUGACCUGGUAAGGUGGGUUCUUGGCCGGGAAAAUAGGGGUAAUUGUCUGCAGCCUACAUGUCAAUUGAAAUCCCAGAUAAGAAUUAAGAUAAAAUUUGGCGGUUACACGCUUGUAGGAAAAACGCCAAGACUAGCCAAACCUGAUAUACUGACAGUGGAGAUAGAUUUGUGUUUGGUGGGAAAGGUUACCUCCUGAGGAGAAGCCCAAACGUGCAGAUGCGAGUCGAUUACGCUGGACAUCUUCUUGGUGCUUGGUUGCUUAGCAUUAUCAUCAUCAUCAGGGGUUGCCAUUUGAUUCUCUACUGCUGAGACCCGUAAUCGACUUCCAAGUCUACUAGAACCAGUCUGCCUCAGUAGUCUUAGGGGUAAGUUCCAGGACUGAGUUGCGCAACUCACACUCAAACUCGCUGCCAUUAGCCCAAUUACACUUUUCUACGCCCACACACACACACCGCCAACCUUGUUUUCUUCACAUCACCAUGAUCUUAAUUUUAUUUAAAUGCUCAUUCUAUCCUAACCCCAACAAACUGUUGCGGUGCAGUUGGUUAUCAUGUCAAUCUAACGCACUGAACCUCUGCGGCUCGAGUCCGGGUGACGCCAAUUCUUGCUAGAUCUAACAUUGAAUUCAAUCAGACAGGUGAUUAUUUGAAAUAAUCAUUUCUAUGUGCUUUUAGUUUUUGGGAUAUUUUUAAAAAAAAUUUACUAUUGCUAUGUACUUUCACGGCAGAUAGAUAGAUAUUUUUUGAUAUAAUUUUUGAAGAUAUAUUUUAAAAUAUUUUACUAUUUUAAAAUUUUAAUAAAUUAAAAAAAAAUUUUAAAAAAAAUCACCCCUCCCUACUGCUUCUCCCCUCCUCCCUCCACAGCCCCUUCUCCCUCUUCCUCCCUUCCCUUCCCUCCUUCUCCUUCCCUCUCCCCUCUUGACCAGAUAGGAGAAGAGAGGGGAGAGGGAAGGAGUUGCAAAUUAGAGAGGAAGGGGGCCGAGAGCUUUUGGUGUUGGGGGGGGAGGGGAGGGAGGAGGAGAAAGGAGGGAAAAAGGAAGAGGCAAGAGGAAGGGAAGGGGGAAGGUAGGGGCGACAGCAUCGAGAAUAGUGGCGGCGAAUUCCAACGGUGGAUGGAAGAGGACAGAGGUGACAGGUUAUUUAUUUAUUUGCAUUUGAGAGUUAAGAAUUGUUAACCAUUUUUAAGAGUUUAUUAUUGUAAUAUUGUAUUUAAAAAACUUAUUAUGAAAAAAUAACCAAUUUAUAUAGACCUCUAAUAUCAUCCACCACACUUCAGAUACAAAAGUAUGCACGAUUCUUUUCAUUGGUAAGUAUUCCUAUCAGAUUUCUGUCUAUACAAGCUUUACUGGGCUGGCUAUAUCCUGCCAAUGGAUUCCGAACCUAAUAACCACACCAGCCACCCUACAAUAAAUGCUAAGCUGCUGCUAAAAAGGUGAAAAUGAAGUAGGACAAAUUAAAGAAAUUGCUGCUGCAAAAACUUUACAGAAACUCCUAAUCUGUACAGCAACUAAAAAACUGGCAUAG